GAUGUGGAGGUGAAGUAUGAGGUGUAAUUAGGAGCUUAAGAGGUGAGUCUAAUCAAGGAUCAAGUGUCAACAUAUUUUUAUAGAAGGCUUCCUAUAAAUAGGCAAUUUGAACAAAGGAUUUCUCACAACUCACUGAAGCAAUUUCACUCAAAUUAGUCUCAAAAUACCAUGUCUAGUUUGUUAAGGAGGGCUGCUAUGCGUUUUGGAUACGAGAAGGUUGACAUUUUGGUAAAGAGAAGACGAGAAGGUCAGUUUUCGAGUGAAUCUGAGCAAGGUGCACUCCUAGAAAACUAUAGAGCUCAUAUUUUGAAAUUUGGUUAUAAAAUUUGGAGAUAAGAUAGUUAAAACAAUUUAUAGCAACUUUAUAGAAGGAAGAUUUUUGAAACAAGUUAUGUAUUGUAAGUUAUGAUUUUUUAAAUUUGGGUCAUGUAUUUUAGAUGAAAAAUUAGGUGAAAUGGGUGAAGUUUUCAUGUUAUAGGAAUGUUUUGGAUAUUUUCAUGAUCAAAGGAUUAAUUAAGGAUUAAAUAUGAAUAUUUUAGAUCAAGGAGGCUUAGGAGGAAUUUACGACGAAGGAUACAUACAAGUAUUGUAAGUAACAAAAUGUUUUAAAUGCUAUUAAUUAAACAUGGUUUCAAGCUUUACAAGCAAUAACUUAUGAAAUGAUUUACCAAGCAUGAUUUUCAAGUUAUAACUUAUAAAUUUUUAUGAACUGAUGUUCAAUUUUUGAAUGAUUUCAUAAUCAAGUUCAAGGAAAAUAUUUCAAUAAUGAAAAUGUAUUCAAAUGUUUUCUCCAUGGCCAAAUAUAUCAUGAGACCUAUUGUAUACAUGUGGUUAACUCCAUACUGAUGAUAGGAUGACGAGUCUAUAAUUUAUGGGCCAUCAGGAAGGGUAUAUAUUUAUGCCUUAAAGGAGGGGGAUAACUCCCCAACGACUGUUCCAUCUUCGGAUGAAGGGGUACAUACUGCCCCUAGCUAUGGAAGAUUGUUUUCGAAAAUCUAUACAAAUAUUUCAAGUAUCAUGUUUCGAAAUGAAUGUUUAUCUAUAAAUUUAUUUCAAGCUUCAUUUUUAUAUAAAAAUUUUAUGAAAACUUGUUUUUUAAAACCGUUGCUCACUAGUCUUUUGACUUACCCUUUCAAAACGUUUUUCCACUUUCUAGGUACAGAUUGUGGACUCUCCGCAUGCUAAACUUACUGCUGUCAGGCCAACUUAGUUUUUUGUCAUAAAAGAAAUUGUUUUGCUAAAAUUAUUACUAUAUUUACUCAAGAGUUUCUACUUUCGUGUUUGGUAUAUUUUUUACUUGGUAUUCUUAAACGAAAUUUUAAGAUGGGUUACACUAUACUUUAAAAAGCAUUUCAAAGUUUAAAGACUUCCGCUGUUAAAAUAUUUCAUGUAUUCAUGUAAAGGGUCAGUUGAGGUUGUUUUGAAGGUGAAUGGCUUCAGCUGACAUCACACCAUAUCUUGGGCCAAGCAAGCAGGUGUUCGAGUGGGGUACGACAUUAAGACUGCAGUUCAACGUUGGACUAAAUUAAAUCGUCUAGUGAGUGAGAUCUUUUAUCAAAUGACUUAAAUAAAUCAAGUUUGUCUUAUCGAACAAAAUCAUUUCUAAAAUAGGUGUUAAAGCAAAUGUGAGCCAACUAUUACACUUUAGGUUUAACAUUUAUUCAUAAUGUCAAACAUUUUUCAACAUCUCAAUUUAUCAACAACUCAUAAAUCAUAAAAGAUACGUUGUUUAUUAGUCAACACAAUUCAUGUCACAUCAUAUGCUUCUCACACACUUCAUUUCAAUCCCGCAAAAUUAUUAUGCUCAAUCUAUUAUACGUCUUUGUACCCUUUCCUCGACUCAAGCGUUUGCUAACCUCUUUUAGCAAAUACCAUCAAUUCUAUUAUUGCUUAACACACCCUCCAAUGCCAGAUCACACAACAAGCAAAUGACAUCUCAUAUCAUACCACAUAGUAAGUAUGAAGCAUCCCAUUCAAGAUCACUCAACAUGAAUAGGGCGUUCUAUUCCAUAUUACACAACAAGAAUAGAGUAUCUUAUCCCAGAUCACAUAGCAAGGAUAAGACAUCUUAUCCCAGAGCACACAACAAAGGAUAAUACAUUAAAUCGCAUAGGAUACAAAGAUGAUCUUAUUUCAUGAAACAUGUAUUCACCAUUUUUCCACAUAAUGCCAACUUCAUCAAGAUACACGUCAUGUGUUUUAACACACCUACCUCAAGGUGUAAAGGAAUCGUAUUCAAAACAUUCUUUCAUUUAAAAGUUCACCUAUAGGAUAUCCUUGUAUAGUUUAUCUGUUCUUUUCAUUUUCACAAGAAAUCCAAUUCAGUCAUAAAAUUACAUGUGUUUUGGGAAUCAUAAAGAAUAAAGAAACUCACACAAUCAUGGUCUCAAAAGAGAUAGAUUUAACUAUUCAACAAAUUUUAGAAUUUUUUUUUAUUUGAAAAUAUUUCUAAGAGGGAAAACUACUCAUAGUUCACUGUUAACCAAUUCCUUAGCCUAGCUUCAUCAAAAUAUUUACAGGGAGUUUGUUUUGCAUCUUGGAUACUCCUACAACUCUUUCUUAAACGAGCUCAGGGUAAAAAGUAACUUCAAACUGGCCUGAAAUACUCCAUUUAUAGUUCUUUCUCCAAUGAAUUUUUCCAUUACGAAAUGAUUACCCUUGUGGACGGCGAGGAGUGGUCCAAUCUUAAAAUGUCAAGCGUCUCUAUCCAACCCUUAUCUUGAAUUUUGAUUGGAAGGUGAGGUUUAAGCAAUCGCCGACCUACUGACAUCAGGGUAACAUCACUGUUUAUUGGUGAAGUAGCUCAAAUUGCCUAGCGAUUUUCCGAAUAGCCUUCCUCAUAUAGGGAUUUUCCAUUUCAUAAUCAUUUCGCGAAAAGGAAUUUAUUAACAGGAGUCUCCUCUCAGAAUCCCUACUGUAGGACCUUCAUCGCAUUGGUGGGAUGCGAUUAGGGUCUUACAUUGAUAUCUUAUUACCAUGUGAUUCCUAUAUGAUUGAGUUUUUAAACAUUAAAGGCAUUUAUUUAAAUUAAAAUCAAUGUCAUUUUUGCAAAUAAGUUCAAAUUCAUAAUUUGUAAGGUUCCAUGGUAAAGAAAAGAGCUAUUGAAAGUUGAAGUGUAACUACAAAAUGGUACGAAAAUUUAAAAACUUAAAUUAAGUUAUACCUAAAAUAGUAAUGAUCUAAUAGAAAUCAUAUGACAAUCAUAUAAAAAUCAGAUGUCAUACAGACAUAAAUCAAACUCCAAUUAGAUAGAAAUCAAAUGUCAAUCAAAAUCAGAAUUUAAACUAUGUGUAUACCUUUACUUUCAUUAGAAACUCUUAUAUUAUAUUGAAAGUUUGAAAAUUGAACAAACAAAAAUGAUAAGCUCAUUGAGUCGACGAUUUGGCCGCCACUCUCACCCGUACAAAUCAAAGGAAAAUCCUCGCGAACAGGAGUUCAUAAUACACUCAGAAUUAUGACUAAGUUACUUAGAUCAUCCUAAUAAAAUAGAAACCUAACUAAUUAAUGGAGUUACAUCUAAUUGCUACUAUUUCACGGUUCGAUCUUAUGCAAACUCAUUGCAUAGGAUACCCUCACUCGCAUGUCAACUACACGAACGCGUUGGAUCAUUGCGUUUGUAUCAAAUACAAAGUGAGUCAUAUCCAUAGUGUUUCAAGAUAAGGUAUCAUGUCUUAUCCCUAUAUUAUAGACCCUUUAAGCUAAUCUAAAACAUUGAUUCCUGUAUUGUCUCAAAUAUCUAUAAGUUUUAGGACAUAAAUUUCAACAGUAAUAAAAUGCAUUUGUGGGUGUUAUCUGUGAUAUGUUUAUUAUUUCUAAAUCAACUUUCCAUGAAAUAAAAUUCAAAGGUCAAAUCAAAAGUUACACCAUGCAAUAAUAUUAGCAAACGGGGAAAGCUUCCUAUUUUGGCAUUCAUAUUUCUUUUUCUUUUCUUAAAAAAAAUAUGGUUUUAAAUUAAUGGAAUCCCAUCUCCUUCAAUCACAUUGGUCCAAUAAUUAUAGGAUCUUUCAAUGUCUUGUGUUUUUAAAAGUUGGGGCAUCCUAAAAGUUAGACUAACAUUUGGCCAAUCAAUCCAAUAAUAAAAAUUAAUUGUAUAGUUUAUAGGUUAUAUUUAUAUAGCUUUAAUAAUAAUAAAAAAAACAACAACAAUUUCAUUAUUAUUUUCUCCAUCUUUACAACACAAAGAUAUAAUAAAUAAUUAUAAAUUUAUUUCAAGGAUAUUGUUACACCAAAAUAAUUUGCUUUCAAAAAUCAUUUUCUUUUAGUAUAAAUGAAGAUUCUUAUUUAAUAUACAUAAUUUUCAAACACGUACUCAUGUUAAUCAAAUUAAAAUAUCACUCCAUGGCCUUAUUCCAUAUUCUGUCACAUAUCUACAAAACUAAUAUUUAUGAGAGGAAUAAAAUGAAAAUUGUAUAAACAGUUGGAGGCUUUUUUAUGGGAUGAGAAAAUGUUGUUCUAGGAUCGAUGCACUCCAAGUUGAAGGCUCUCCAUGUAGAAUCUGAUGCCCUUAAAGUGCUGAUGCUAUUCAACUUUGAAGUUGUUGAUCUCAUAGAAACCAACAACAUUAUUAUUGUAGAUGAAAUUUUGAUAUCUUUGCAUACACAGUAUAUCUUCAAUGUAUUUCUCAUUUCGAGUUGUUGUCUAGGGAAGGUGUUGGGCAUAGUCUUGCUCGGAUUUUUGCUGAGGUUGGGGAUGAGCAGCUUUGAUGUGAGUGAGUCUUCUAACAGGAAGGAUGGAGAGUUUUCUUCGGUUGAUAGAUUUCCUGGUUGGUUAACCUCGGUUGUAAAAGAGGGUUUUCGCUCUUAUGCUUCUACUCAAGGUUUCGUUUCUUUGAAUAUUAUUAAAAUGUAUUACUUUUCAUAUGAACGUCGUCCCCCCCCCAACUCCCAUCCUUUUGUUCAUGUGAGAGAGAUGGAGUGAUGUUGAAGCAAAUUAAAGAGUAUGGGUGUUAAUUAGGGAAAGUACAAUUAAUUAAUGGGCAGGUAAGGUUAAUGGAGUUUUCUCCAUCCUAACAAUGACUUUAGUGAACCAACUAAUGUGAUAUGUUUCCUAUGGUAACCAUGUUAAGAUCACUAAUAUAUAUAUGUUUAAACAUUGGAUCAUGGCAAACAUCAUAAUCUUCUUUGAUUAAUUAAUCACAAACAAGAAACACAAAGACAUGCAUUGUCACUUUUGAUUAUAUUUUCCAACUAACAAUUGACAACAUCAAUUUCAAAGAUUUAUUAAUUAAUUAUAUAUAUGGUAAACAAACUAUUGUAAGUUGUUGGUUACUUCUAACCUAUUCUAAUUCUAAUACCAUUUUUUACACUAAAUUAAUAUAAAACAAUUUUGAAUUUUAUUUAAAUGUUUGUAAAGAAAAAUCAGGGUGAUGUCUUGCAUAUGUCAACCACAUGUUCAUAGCAUUUGAUUUCUUUUUUUAAAAGAAAAUGAAAUGCAUUGGUUUUUCAAGUUGGAAGUUUAGCCAUCUAUACUAUAUAUAAAAGGGAAACUAUGCAUCAAACGAGAAAAACAUUUAGAAAAAAACAGUUCAUGACACUUGUUUUUUUUGCAUAUUGCGAAUAUGACAAAAUUAGUGAUAUCAAACAGAUAUUAGAUAGUAACCAUAGAUCUAUUAGACAGUAAUUAAAGGGUUAUCGACUUUUAAAUUUACUAUUUUUAUAAUUUAGAAAAUGUAGUGACAUGAACUCUAUUAUCAUUAUAAAAAAGAAUAAAAUGGUUAGUUUUACAAAAACUCCACAUUUUUUCCCUUUCAUUAUAGUAAUUAACUAUAUAACAUUAGUGGUAAUUUGUCAGCUUUAAAAACUUGUUAAAAAAAUCAAAAGAAAAUUGUAAAGCUACAUGAUUUGUUAAAUUAAUUAACAAUUAACAUCUAAAUAUUAAUUACAUUUAAAACAAAUCCAAUGAAAAUUUAAGAGAAAAUUGUAAUUUGUUAAAUUAAUUAACAAUUAAUACCUAAAUAUUAAUUAUAUUUAAAACAAUCCUAACGAAUUAUCAAAUGUUUUUUUAUUUAUAGAUAUUAAUCACACUUUAUUCUUUUUCAUUCCAAAAACCUUUUAAGCUUUUCUGAUUUCCAUUCUUUUAGAAAAUGAUUUUCUUCACUUUCUACAAAUUCAAUAUACAUAACCCCAAUACGCUAAAUGAAAAAUAUUAUUUUUUCAAGCCUACGAUGAUGGGCAACGAUAAUAUAGAAAUAUGAGAAUGUUUGAAGUCACGUCAUUAGAGUGCAUCAAAUCACGUACAAGUCAAUCCAUUUAAAUAAAAUAAAAACCAAAAUAGAGGAAUGAGGCAGCAAGAGUCACUACAUAGCAAAAUUAAUAGAGAUUUUCGUAUUGGAGUAUUGUUGAUUAAGGUAAUUAUACACAAUAGUCAUUAGAGGAAUAUAAAUAAUAGUUUAUUUAAAAAUUUCUAUUCGACAAAUAGUGAGCAAAGUAUAUUUGUCACGAUGAUGUUAAUUAAUUGCUACUCAUGGUAAUUGCGGUUUAAUUUGGAGAUUGUUUUUGUCCUUGUGUUUAUCACGUGAAAAUGAAGGAGUGAUUUUAAAAUUUACUUUUAUUAAAUACAUGAGUAAUAACUUAUGAUUAUUAAUACCAAGAAAGAUUAUUAGCAAUAUGUAAAAGAAAACACACUUACUUUCGACUAACUUUUAUGAGUAUAUAUAUAUAUGAUUGAUAGAAUUUGGUAUUUGUUAUAUUAUGUAAAUAUUUUGGGAUGUUUUUACUUUCAAUAAUUUUUCUAUUUUUUAAUUAUUUGAAACUGAAUAGGAUAGAAAAAAUAAAUAAUAAAUAGUAGUGGUUUAAAUGAACAUUUGAAAUUAAUUUGGUAAUCAAAUCAGUCCAAAUGAGAAUAAAGAAAAUAUAUGAGUAAAUGAACAAAGUAAAUCUUGUCAAAAGCACUCUAUGGUAGGGGACAAGGAAGGGAGACGUGAACUGUCACUCUUCCGGCUAAACAAAGCCAAGUUGUUUUUUUCUUUUAGAGAAGUUGAUUGUGCUUGUCCUAAUACUAUGAAAUAGAUAGAUGCUAUGAAAAUGAUGAAAUGCAGCCUUUAUAUUCGAAUGACACUUGAAAGGUUGUAAACACAUUAUCUUCAGUGCAUUUUCAAAUACAACAUAGCACACACAUUAGUAUCAAAUAUUUUAUGGUUUUUUUCAAGAGUUGGGAUUUUAAGAAGCAAUUUUGACAGUUAACUGAUGAAGUCUAUUUACUUUUGUAUGCACCCUUUACAUUCUAAUUUUGUAUUUAGGUUAAUGCUAAGUGGUUCGAUGAUGAAGUCUUAUUUACUUUUGUAUGCAGAUGAUAUGUCUCUUGCAGGUAUUGUUAGGUAUAAUUACUCAAGUACAAACUAUGUUACAGGAGUUUGACACAAGACUUGGAUGGGUCAAAAAAAGAAUCCUUGGGUUGAAAUGGUAAGAAGCAACAAAUCAAAUAAGAUGUAUAUCAACCAACAUAGUUAUUGAGAAAAAGCCCUUGAGAAAUUCUAUUAGAAUGAGUAUAAAGUUGUGUCUACUCUUUUAGCACAACACUUCAAGUUGUCAUCUAGAAAUUGUCCGAAAGAGUAGAUUAGAACAUGAAGCCUUAGGUCUAUAGUACCCCAUUCCCAAGUGGUGGGGAAAGUCGUCAAACUUAACUUGUGUGAGUUGGUGUAUGACAAAUCUUAGCAAAAGAUUUAGAAAAGCAAAGAGUAAAAUAUUAUAAUUUAAUUGUCUUAAUCCUCUUCUUAGCUUAAUGUAGCUAAUUGACAAGCAUGGAAUAAUUUAUCAUACCCAACUUCUUGGUUUGUGUAAAUUUAAUGAGAUUGUGUAUGUAUUAAUUAAUUAAACGAAAUUUUGGUUAGCAUGGAAUACUAUGGUGCAAUGUUAAUGCAGCAUUCGCAUCUCAAACCUAAAACUUCCAAACAGUCCAAGAUGCCAAGAGAAAAGCUCUUAAAAAAGCAAGCUUCUAAAAUGUUCAUCAACCGCACAAGAAAAUAUUUUAGCAAUGAAAGGUCGACCAAAAAGAUCCAAGCCAUAAACCGCAUAGUUCAUUGACCUUUCUUUGUCACCAAUAACCUCAAUAUAUGAAACCAAUAAGUUUUUAUUUAUUUAUUUAUUUUUAUCAAAACUGCUUGAAUUAUUUUCAAAUGCAGCAAAAUCAACCCAUUUUUUAAUGCUACAUGCUUGUGAGAAAGAUGAAAGAACACAGAGAAGCUACUAAGUAAAAGAAUGUACUAAAUAAAAGAAUUCCCUAGUUUGAGCUCAUACAGGAGAAUUGCCUAAAUCUAAAUCCACUUCCACGCUUCCAUGUAGGCGAGUACCAUGACUUCAAUUGCUCAUAUCGUAUUGAUCUCAAACAACAUAUCUGUAUGUCACAUAUCUUCCUGCAGUUUCGCUUGGUCGGAUGAUCUUCACUACCUGUCCACGCUUCAUUCCAUAAUAUCUAGCAAUUGGAUCAGUAACCUGCAUGCGAGGUAGCUAAGACAAAAUACGAAAUCACAUUAGGAACUAACCUACACACAUUUCAACAUGUAUCCAAGAGUGUCAAAGCCAAGUUGCAUGCACCUCCAGUACUGUUCUAACAAAACUGCCUAACCCUACUAUAUUUGAUAGUCAAUGUAACUCCGAGAAUAUUAAAUCUUUCAUAAAAGUUUUAUUAUUUACAAAGCCCUUCUUCACCAAGGCCCAAUCUACCAAUGUCAUUUCAACAUGUUUAUGGAAACAAUUCUCACAAUGUUCUUGUAUUUCAAGAAAAUAGAUCAAAUAAAACAAACUCACUUGUGUAUCUUUCACCGUAUACCUCUCCAGCAACGUCUUCUUAUCUUCAUUUGUCAACAACUGGUGCUCCGGAAUGAGAACGUGAUCUUUAAUGUUAACCAGCAAUUCUGCUUCCUGCAUCAAAAAGUGACAAAGAGGUAAACAUUAACUUCAGUAAAAAAAAAGAGUGUAUGCAAAAGCAUUAUUAUAUGGAAAAACGGAAAUCACAUAAGUAAUUACAAACUAACUUACCAUUAUUUACCCCCUAAACCCCUUCAUUCAUACUGUCGAUGUGAGAGUCGACAAAAGUAUGAGAACUAGUUUUAGGAUAGGAGCAUAGAAGAUAUUUAUAAUAUAUCUGACAUUAAAAGGCUCCAGAAAUUAUUCAGAGAUUAAUUAAUUUUUACCUGGAAAACCUCCAAAUGGAAUUUAGGUGCUUCGCAGAUACUAGAACGAGCAAAGGAGGACAAUUUUUCUUGAACAACCAAUAUUGCUCUAAAAACAUUAUCUGAUUUCAUACGAUUUAUAUAUGUUCGCACUGUCUUGACACUAACCUUUGGCUCUUCAGGAAAGAAAACAUAUAUCUGCGUAAAAGAGUCACAAAUUAACGGAGGGGAACAAAUAAAAGGAUUAACAAAUAGCCUGUACAUCCCUAUAACCAAACUUAACAUAAAAUUGGUAAAUAUUUAUCAAAUAAUAUUAUAUAUUACUUGAUGUUAGAUAGCUAAGUAAUUUCCAUGUCAAAAUACUUGAGAAUGACUCAAAUACAAACUUCUCCUAAGGGAAUUUACCAAGGUAAAGUUUAAACAUGUUCAAACUGCCUGAGUCACUGAGACCUUGUUUUAUACAAUUAAGAGGUGUUUGAGGCACUAAAUUGAGUUGGAAAUUUUGAGUUAAUAUGUUAGAAUUGAAUUAGGAAUCCUGUGUUUAGGAGCCGAGAUGAAGUUCCUCGGCAGAAAUCAUGGUAAACAAGUUUGGAGGUACGAACUAGCAUGAAACUCUACCUGGUCAGAGCUAUUAUUUCUCAUGGAUUUAUUGAUAACAAGAUCUUCUUUUUUCAUGGUCUCACCAUACUGAUUUUUAAAUUGUUCUCUUGACAUAGCAAGCUCGAAGUCUCCAACAACGAAUCCUCUGUCUCUCAACAUCUGUAACACGGUUUUGCGUGCUCUAAAGAGUUUGGUGAUUUCUUCCUCUGACAACACCAUCUCUUUCAGCCUAAAAACACUUUCAAGAAAUUCAGUACUCAAUUAUUAUUCUAGUUUCACAACAAGAUGCACAUGGAAGAGUAUAAAACUUAAUUCCCCAAUCAAAAAUAGGGGGAGAAAGAAAAUAAAAUCUAUCCAAAUAAAAGGGAAUCAUCAAAUCACAGACAUUCAACACAUAAACAUAAUCAAGUUGAAAUAUAUUAAUCAUUCCAAAGGGUAUUGAUUUACUAUUGGUAGGAUUGGGAAAAUCCACGUAAACAAUAAUCCAGACAGCAACAGGAAAAAAAAAACCAGCAUCAUGAUUGAAAUACAAACAAAAUCACAGACUGCAAAGCAAGAGUUGAACUAGAUUGUUUCCAGGAGGAAAAAGUACUGAAAGAACCUGAUUAAGAAGGAAAGUGGAAGAAAGAAAUCUUGGUUUGCCCAAGUCUAUGAAGGAAGCCAAUCGACCGUCAACUGUGAAGACGUGGGAGAGGAAAGUGUGGAAGCGCAGGUGGGCGGAAGGGAUGGUGCCGUGGUGAUUUUCUGGUGAAGGAAUAGCUGAAGAAGAUGAAGAGGUUGGCUGCGCAUGAACCACUGGAGGACCCAAUUUUUUUCUUAAAUAGGUUUGGGGUGUGGGAAUUUGAAGAACUAUUUUUUUAAAAUAUUUUAUUAACGUAAUUUGUUUUUAAUUUCCUAUUCUUUUCUAUUUUUAAAUUUUAUUUUUAGAAUAAUUGUAUUAGGCGACACAAUACAAAUAUCAUUUAGCAAUAUUAGCACUAACCUUUUCAAAUGUGACUUAGUUUUUUACAUUAAUUAUGGAUCAAUCUACGCAAUGUCCUUUAUUUACUCAUUUUAUAUAUACAGUUUUGGAUAUUUAAUUGAUUCUUCAGCUUCUUCUCCAUAGUUGAGAGAGGUGAAUUAACAACUUUUAAAGAUGUUGACAUUACCACUAUUAAGAAUGAGUUGGCUUUUAAGGAGAAAGAUUUGUUUUGUACGUAGUAAAGAAAUUUUGUUGAAGUCAUUCUGCUUUCAACAACAAUUUUGAGUUUAAGACAUUGAGAUCUAAUUUAAGAUCUAUUGAGUUGGGAUGUAAUGAAGAUGGUUGUCUUUGGUUUAUUAGAGCAUCACGUGUAUAAAUUUGGUGUAUUUGGUACAUCUAUAUUAUAGUGUAUUUGGUGUAUCAGACUUAUAGGGAGUGUAUUAAACUCAUUAAGUGUAUGAACAAAACACAGUAAGUGUAUGAACAAAUCAUAACAAAUGUAUCAAUAAUGCAACAAACAUAUUAUGCUUAGUGCAUCAAUGUAUUUAAUUGAUUGAAUGUAUUUGCAAAGUUUAACAAAUGUAUGGACAACAGAUCAAGUGUAUCAAACCAAUUAUGUGUAUCAAGUGUUAUUUAAUUCAUCGAGUGUAUCAGCAAGAAUAACAAUUGUAUCAAAAACACAUCAAGUGUAUCAACAACAUAUCAAAUAAUGCGUGAAAAUGUUUAUAAUUCUAGAAGGUAGGUUUGAACCUAUGGCUUCUACUUGGACAGCUGAGUCAUUUUACAGGGGUUUCUAAUGAGUGUACAAAUGUAGAUAAAAAAUUUCUACAAACAGUUAAAUAAAAAAUAAGAUACCGUUAAAAUUUAACUGAAGUACAUCUAUAUUAUAGUGUAUUUCUAUAUAUUGACCAAUUGUAAUUUUUUUAAAGAAGGAAUUACAUUGUAUUUAUAAUUAAGUAUACCUAAGGUGUUUUGGAUCAGUGCAUCUAAGAAUGACAACAUGCCAUAUACGGCCUUCGAAGUACCCCUAAUAGAAUUCAAACGAGAUAUGGAAAGAUUUGAAUUGUUGCAACCAUCCCAAUAAACGAUCAAACGAGACAUGAAAAGAUUUGAAGACAAAAAAAGUCUAUCUUGAAUACAUUCUAUAAAUUCUUGAAACGAAGGUGAAAGUGAAACAACACGAUAAUCAAGAUAUUGAAAGAUCCAAUUCAUCUACCAUCCAAAAUAAUUUUUACUCGUUGUAAAGCCAUAACAAAAACAUAUUUGUUAUAAUUCUACUAUUGUCUUGGAAAACUAAUACUAAAAAGAUAAGAUGUACUAUAAAAAUUGUAAUUAAUUGACAAAAUAUGUUAAACACUAUUGUCUUCAAAACCUAAUGCUAAAUGAAGUACGGUAAAGAUUGUAAUUAAUAUAAAAAAUACACAUUUUCAGAAUAUUUUUUAAAAAUAGAUAUAAAUAACAUACAUUUUAAAAUAAUGAACAUAUUAUGCAUAUAGACUUUAAUAUAUUUAAUAUAUGUGUAUAUAUGUAUAUAUAUAUUUAAUACCUAUAACUGCCACCAAAAUAUAAUUUUUUAAAUAAAAAAUAUUAAGAAAUAUAAGUUGGACUGAAUUUAAGAAAUCUAUCCUAAAAUAUAAUUUCAAAGGGUUAUUAAAAAUAUAUAUUAUAUAUUAUUUAAUUAUAAUUAUUGAUAUUUUUAAUAAAUGGUAGAUAUAUUUUGGAGUAUUAUAGGUGAGGUUUCUCCCAUCUCGUCCAACAACAAAAUCCUAGAUUCAAAAUUUUAGUUAGAAUUUACUAAAGUUGAAGAUUGUUUGUAAAAUUUAAGAUUCAAAGAUUUAGUUAGGAUUUACUAAAGUUGAAGAUUGUUUGUAAAAUAUAUUGUGUUUGUGAAAUCUAUGAUAUGCAGUCUUAUGUUGAAAUCUAUGAAUUAUCCUAUUACAAGGGAUAUAUUUGGAAUUAAUAUAAUUAAAUAAAUAGACGCAUCUAGCUUUUGCUAUUUUUCUUAUUCGUGCCUCCUUUUUGUCAUUUUUCAAGUAGUUAUCUCUAAAAAAAAUCAUCAAAUUAAACAAAAUGAACAUUAAAAAUAAAUAUACAAAUCCUCUAUAAUAGAUACUCAUAUUUAUCUUUUUGGGAAAAUUACUUUUUACGCACCCAAUUUUGAUUAAUGUAUAUGUUUGAUUUCUAAAUUUUCAAAAUGUAUCUUUUUAAUCUUGAGUUUAUAUGAAUGAACUCAUUGUCUUAAAGUUUACAAAAUGUAUCAUUUUUAUAGGUGUGUAAAUGGAGUUGAGUCGAUAUGCAUGCACAAUCCAACCCAACAUGAAUGUGGUUGUACAAACACAAACCAACUCAAAAUCAAAUAUAAAGUGGGUCAGGUGAAGUGAAGAGAUAUUGUAACCAACAAUUUAAACUCAAUUAUUAAAUAGAUCUAUCCAGAGAUUCACAAAUCUUGUUGAUGGGACAGUAUAGUUUAGUAAUAAUAAGUUUGAGAAAAAUGUAAAGAACAAGAAAUGAAUUGUUUAGAAGUGGUUGAAAGUUCCACAAUUUCACCGCUAGACUGACUAUUAAUUCUUGUAUUCUUGAUGGACUAUCUAUAAAUAUGACUAAUAAAUAUAUCUAGAAUCUAAAAUUUUCUAUAUUUUGUAAAUACUUUAUCAAAUUUGUCAUUUUUUAUAAUUUUUUCUUCCACAGCUUGGAAACCAAACACACCUAUACGUUGAAACUUAAAAUUUGAAUAGAAAGUAACUUCCUAACAAAAAAUUAAAUUAAAUUUUAACAAAAUUUCAAAUUUGUUAAGUAAAACAUUUCAUGGUACAUUCUAUUCAACAAAAUUAAGCUAUAAAAUAAAACUAAAUCAGUGAUACUUAUUUACAUAAAUAAAUUAUUAUAAUAAUAACACUUUGUGAAACAAUUAUUCGGAUACAUUUCAUUUGCUAUAUACAUAAGGAAAAAAAAUUAUCUAAAUUUAAAUACAUAAUUUUCAUCACACAAAUGGCUGUACAGAUUGUUCAUGAAUUGCACACCUUGUAAGGCUGAUUGCAACACAAUUACAUGACAAUUAAUUUUAUGCAUCAACUGACACGCUAAGAGCAUUCAGCUCAAUGUGUUGCUUACCGUCUUGCUGGGGAUGAACUAUAACAGUUGCGCAAGCCUCGGCCCUAGAGGAUGGACAGUCCCCGACAACUUGAGAUAAUGUUAUCGAACUCACCAUUGGCUUCCCAUUACACAACUCGUAUGGUUUAUUUUGGUCAUUGGAGAUGAUCUCCCAUUCCUCUUUCAAAGCUGCUACUUCCAGACCCUUCUCCACAUGACUUUCAAUCUCAAAACCUGUUGGCAAGAUCACGUAGUCAUUCAGUGGGUCAUAGAAGGGGUCGGGAUCGCCUGCUUUGAGCCAAUGCUUGAGGCUUCGGAACAAACGGUGGUCUCUAAGAACGCUCUGGUGCUCACCAGGGACGCCAACCCUUGCUACUGCAUCGAGUCCAUCGGCCUGAAAAGAAAAGGCAUCGAUGGUUCUGAGAGUUUAUCUUACUCAUUUAACCACUUUAGCAAACAUGACAAAAAUGCGCAAAGGAAAGCGGCAACACAAUGUCUAAGAAGGUGACAUGACUAGAAAAUGGAUCAUAGGUCACAUUGUAGGAGAAUGUAUAAACCAUUGGCAAAAAAUACAUCCAAUCAUCAUGUUAAGACUCUAAACCUGAAACAAAAUAACAAGUAACCAGAUGACAAGAAUAGUAAAAGAAAGAAAGAUUCCAGCUCCUUCCAGAAUAGCCGGCAACUUCUCCUAAAAGCUUAACACAGCUUUCACCCCAAAAUUCAGACCUAGUUUUCCAUACCCAAAACAUCCCUUAUUUAUAUCCAUGACUCUAGUGGGCCCUCAGGUGUUUCUUUCCCUCUCUCCUCAGCUCUAUCUUGGCAUAUUCCAUGAGUUUCCCUCUAUACCUUUCUUUUAUAUGUAUGCAGGAUUGGGGAUCUAACACAUCAAUUCAGAAUACUAAAUCUACGUCCAGGACAAAAACUUGAUAACUUAAACUAUGUUAUGUAACCAUUUGAUUUUUGGUUUCUGGUUUUUAAAAUUAAACCAAUAAACACUACUUCAACCUUCAAAUUCCUUCCUUUGCUAUCUAAUUUUUAUCAAUGGUUUAAAAGACCUUGCCAAAAUUUGAAAACUAAGAAAAAAAGAAGUAGUUUUAAAAACUUGAUUUGUUUUUUAAAUUUGGCUAAGAAUUCAACAAUUAUACUUAAAAAGAUGCAAAUCAUUAUAAGAAACAGAAGAAAUAGGCAACUUUCAAAAACCAGAAUGGAAAUGGUUGCCAAACAAAGCCUUUAACAAUUAGCAAACAUCCAAUCAUCAUCUCACAAGAGAAAUGAAACAGGAAUAGACCUCCAAGAGAUGGAUAGUGCAAAGAGCGGAAUCUCAAUCUGCUUCAUUAUUAUUACUUUUAAAAACAAAAAAGAAAAAAGGAGUAACAGAACAAACCAUUGCCGAUUCCACCGGAACUGUCCCAUCACCAUCAACAUAAACAUACUUGGGCUGAAAAUUAUAUUAUGAAAAUUUCAAGUCAGCUUUCCAUAUUCAUCUUCACAACUCAAAGAUAGGAAAAAGAGAAUCGUAUGACAUAAAAUGGAAUUAAGUAGCAAAAAGUUAUAUGGCAACACUUUUCAGGGUUCCACACCUUGAGUAUGUAAGAUUAUAGUUGAAAAGAUGCUAUAGAAAGACAACAGUUACCUCAAUGUAUCGCAGUUUAUGUAAAUCAGCGACAGGAUUUUCUGCAUCUCCAUAGCUGUAGAAUAAUACAUCAGCCAAGCAAAAUUUGACAUAUCUUAAAAUAACAUGGUCAAGCAAACAUCAAAACAAUCAAAAGGUUUUGCUUAUAAUAAUUUCACUGAAUUCCGUCAAGCAUCAUUUAGCAAAAUGAAGGCUUACCAAACAGUAUGUGGAGUCUCAAGACCAGUUGCAUAUAUAUUGUAAAACUUGACCUGAGGAGGUAGUUUAGCAUCCUUCAAAAUUUCCCUCGUCUCGUUUGCCCAUUUCAAAAUAUCCAAAUUAAAUGGGAGGGGAAUAUCUACUCCAUUAUGAAGAAUCUGGUUCAAGCACAUAGAACUCAAUGGUUUGAAAAUGCAGACCAAAAUCAGAGACCAAAAAUUGGAAUGUUUUUUAUCUCCCUACGUCAAAUAGUAACCUCUCAUAGCCAAGAGGCGUAUGUAAUUAAUCUAAACUCACUCAUAACACACCUAAUGGUGCCAAAAACCACUAGCUUUACAGACUACUGGAUUAUAGAUCAAUUCAUUUUGGGAACUUCCUAAGAAUCAUCGAGAAAUAAUGUUCUCAUAAAGACAUGUUUGAUGAUAACUUUCUCGUUUCUUGUAACACAUUUCUUGUUUCCACAUUUAUAGAAAGAAAAACUUAAGUACGCAUAAUAUUGCUUCUUGUUUCCUUUUCUUUUUUUUAUUUAAAAAAACAAAAGUAAUCUUGAUAACCGUUGGUAUUUGUCGUUCCAUCAAAUAUUAGAUUACAAACAUUAAAAAUGAACAUGAAAGUUAAUUUUUUAAUCAAACUUUAAAAAAUGGUUGUCAUAUUUAUUUAUUAAUUUAAUAUGUAUAAAGAAUUAUAUAGGUAAAAAAUUUCAAAAAUAAUAUUUUUCUUCAUAUUUUUUAAAACCUGGAACCUGAAAAAGAGUGUUAUUUAUAAAAUUUGGGUAUAAUUUUGAGAACAUUUCUUGACAAUGGGAAACGAGAGAUGGGCACAAGAAACAAUUAAUAGAAAAAAUAAGAAAAAACCACAGAGCGGUUGGAACUCACCUUGUUUGUAGAAAGGGAUUCUGUCAGUAUUUCAACACUUUCUUGAAGUGGGUAAGAUUCCAACACAUUAUGAGGGUUCCCAUCCUUGUCAUGUUUCUCUCUCCAAACUUCUAGAAGAGGAAUGUGCUGCCAAUUAAAGUCUGGAGCGCCCAUUAGUUCGUAAAUUGAUGGGCAUUCGAUAAGCUGAGGAGUGGAAAAAACAGUCUUAGUUAUAGAGAAACUAAAAACAGGAUGAGUUAACCAAACUACCUAAGCCACAAGAGUAUCCAUAAUGAGUUUUAAUACAAUUUAACAACUAAAAUAUACAAAAUCUGCAUAAAGAACAACAAAUGUUGAAAAAUAUUCCGCCAAAAAAAAAAAAGGAAAAAGAAGAAGAAGAAAGAAAGAAAGAAGAUUGACCCUUAAAUUUCUUUAAUGAGAUGCAUCAGACACCACGCAAUUAAAGAAAAGAAACCUAAACAACCUUCUCCUGUUCAAUCUACCAUAAGCAUUAAACCACUCCAAAGCUAAUAUCUACAGAGCCACCUAAUCCUAGAAGGAACUCUCUUCAAUUGUAUUUUACUAGAAGAACCAAGCUCAGCUGAAGAGUCAGAAGGUAGAAACCAGAGAAAACAUAUGCUUGACACUGACACAUCAAUUACAAGACUAAAUUUCUCCAUCUUUAAAAUGAAAAUUAUGAAAAAAAUAUGACCACGUGAAUAAAUUGUAAAAAAUGCAAUAAAUUGAAUGUCAUCCAGUUUCAUAUUCCUCCUACAAAAUUAUGUAACUAUUCAACCAACGUGAAAACAUAUAAUGAAUACUAUCAUUUUGCCUCAUACCAAUUGGUGCAUGCUCCACUUCGAUAUGAAGAAGUUCUGUCUCCAUCCAUUAACAAAUGACAUACCACUCACAAAGGUUGAUGUAACAUAUCCAGGUGCACCUGUUAAACCCAUACUUCAAUCAUUAAAUUGAGUGCAUCUCUAACAUCACUUUUAGGAUCCAUAUUCAGACUAGCAAUUGCAUAUGCCAACUACCACCGAUAAAAAAAUUUUAAAAAUAAAAAAGGAAGAUUGGAGGACAUUCAAACCACUUUAUAACCUAUUCACUCAGGCAAUCAACAUUAGAGAAAAGUACAUUAUAGGAAGAUAUUAAGCGAUCUUAAAUACUUCUGAAGUCUCACCCUGGAAUGGUGCAGCAAUUGCAAUCCAAUUCUGCACAUACUUCUCAAAAAUCUGCAAGAAAAUGAAAGAAUCUAUUAAAAUAAGACACUUAAGAUGUGCAAAGAAUCUGAAUACGUGCAAGCAGAAAUUAUAUACUCCACCCUUCUCCUAAGAAAACAAUAAAAGGAACUAAAUAAGCAAAAUAAACUUGAGAAGUGUUUGAUGUAAAUCAAGAGGUGACAAACUUGAGCAGAGGGCUUGCCGCUCCUUCCCUGCUACUCAGAUUUUGUAAAAUAAUUUAUGGGUACAUAUUGAGUGGCUAAUAUUUUCCACUAGUCUGCCCCUUCGCUCUAUUAGAAUUAUCUUUGUAAGAUUUUUGAAUGCCCGCCCUCCCCCACCAAAAAAAAAAAAAAAAGAAAAAGAGGAUGACCCGCCCCUAGGACAGAUGAUUGUACACAAUAAUGUGGAGAAUGAGAAUUUUUACUUUGCUGCGCAAGCCCAUGAAGCAUUUCACUAAAAGACCACCCAUUGAGUGACUUAUGAGAUUAAUCUUUUUUCCUCCCGAAGCAUUAUAUACUGCCUCCAGUUUUGCAGCUAAGAGAUCCAAUGUUUCUGGCAACCUAGAAAAACAGGCCAAGCACAAGUGUAAAGACCCAAAACCACAAACCUAAAAUGAAAUAUAAUGGCAAACAAUCUAUAACAAGAUCUGAAUAAGGAAAUUCAUAAAAACAUCUUCAUCAUUUACAUUUUUCCUGUACUUUCAAAGCAGGAAUAAAUGAUGUAUUAAUAAAAUAAUCUAAAUUUUAGUUGAUACCUGUUACUUUGGCGAAAAUCAUAUCCAAAUCCAAAAAGUGUUUUUCCUUCUUGAAAACCCCACUUGGUCAUUUCAACAAUCAUGUCAUGGUAAUAGUAAAUAGAAUCGCAUCCAAUGAUCUAUGGUGCAAAUAAAAAAUAAAAAUCUUGUUCAGUCCAUUACGUACAACUUUCAACUAUCUUAGUCUGUAAAUUGAACAAAACAAUCAGAAAAAUAUUUCAAUCCUGAAGUGAAUAAUUUUAAGAAUUUGAAUAGUUCAAAGUUUUGGGAUAAAAUAUAACCACAUACAUGUAUCUAUUCAUUGAUACUAUAUUUACAAAACAAACAUUUACCCAUGCUUGAACAUAAUCAUAAACAAACAGACUGUUAAAAAUAAAUAAUGUACAUGUCUUAGUGUGGAAAUGCAAGUGAAGAACAAGAGAAAAUUAUUAGAUUUUCCAGUUAAUAACUUCAUCCCAAUUGCAAACAAAUUCAGAGUAAAAUAUUUUUAAACAGAAAUCUGCAAAUAAAUAAGACUUAAGAGUAUACCAUGUCAGGGUCCAAAGUAUCAAUUGCAUACAAUCCGUUUCUCUCAUCGGGAACUCUAAUUUUGAUCUUUGGAUCAAAACAUACAGACUCACCUGUUUCACUAGAUCAUGUUAGUUGCACUGGAAACAGAAAUGGAACAACACCAAACUUUUCUCUUCAAUAGAAGAUGGAAAAUUUUAUAACAGACAGAGAAUGUCAGAUUUCAGAACUAACACUAUACAUCAUAAUUGAAAUGGGAUACGUUGGGUUGACAAUUGAAAGCAUUUUCUCAUACCACAUCACAAGCAUCAGGGUACACAGGAAAAAAUUGUUUUAAGAAAUUUCAAAUCAGAAGUGUGUCGUGAACGUAAUUAAGAUAAAUGAAAGGAUGCGGCUUAAAUCUUCAUGUUGCACGUUUCUUAAUGCACAAUAAACAUUUCACCAUAGUCACAAUUAACCAUCACUCAGUUUUGCUAGCUGUUUAUUAAUGUGAUAUCCACAUCCAGUUGCUCCCAAUGUCAACAACAGCAGACUAGCCAAGCCUAGCAAAACUAAAUCCUUUCCCAGCAAACUGCUUGACAAGUCCACCCAAAUCAGUUUGAGUAAAACUGAAUAAAGCCAGUACCGAAUAAUAACCACAUUUUCAUUUCAGAUAGCGACUAGUUAGCAGUACAUCCUUGCAAGAUCUCUAAAAAACAUAUUAGAAUGAGCUUGACCAGAAUCCAUUUCUCCUCAAACCCAGCAUGGAAUACAUUUGUGUUAUUUAUUAAAGAUGUACUCACAACGAAAUUGAUCAUGGUGGAAUUAUAACAAAUUCCGGAUAUUAUAUGGCCGUCUAAAAUAGGCUAAAGCUAGAGAGUGUGAGCAAAGUUUGAACACUAUGAUAAACUACUACAACUACAUUGAUGACUUCCAUCUCAUCGUUUUCCCUCAAAUUCCAAGGAAACCCAAGGCCUAAAAAUCAAUCACCAAAGCUACCUAAAAUUUACAAAGAAAAUCAGUUCAACAAUAUAUGGAGAAAAUUAGUUGAAUAAGAUUACCAGAAGUGGGAUCGUAAAAAGACCAUAACUCGGUUUGUAAUUUAGAAUCAGCCCCGAAUAUCCUGACCCAAACUCGCUCCUGUUUGCCGGUAUCAUUAUUAACCGCAUUCAAGAUGGAACCACCAACCCCCGGCACUAAAAGAACAGGAUCGAGAUUCGGAUCGAUGAAGGGGUCAGGCUUGUUGAUAAGCUUCAACCAUAACUCAACGGACUUCACAAUCUCCUCCAAUAGCACAGCCAUGGGAGUCGAAGGUCCUUGGGUACGUGGAAGUGGAGGCGAAGAAGGAUGAUCGGAGGGGAGAAAUCCGGUCAAGGAAAGCGGAGGAAGAGGGGGAGGGAGAGGAGAAGGAAGAGGAUGGGAUAAGGAAUUGGGGAUGUUAGAAGCGAAGCAGUGUGAAAUCUUCGAUGGUAAUCUAAAAGGUGGGAUUAAGGGUUUGUCCUGAUUCGCAAAUGAUUGAAUGAAGGAUGUGGGUGGAUGGGCAACACGGCUCCACCUUCUCUUCUCUUCUCAUCUCCUUCUCCUUCUCCUUCUCCAUUGUCUCUAUUUACAAGGUCUUAAAACAGGAAAUCCAGUCAAUCAAUUAACAUAGUUUGACCCAUUUUCUCUUUCUCCUCCAAUGUUUAUCUCUUUUCUUGCGUUCUUUCUUUCUUUCUUUCCUCCCUCAACAAACAGAUCUAAUGUUUUCUAUUUUGAUUUUGGGCAAAUAUCAACUUUUACAAUCCUAUCCAAAUAAGACAUAAUUCCAGGUUUAAAUUGAUAAAAUCACGUACGUUUGUGUUUAAAUUGAUACAAAUAUUAGUUUGAGAUUCACACACUUAAAAAAUUCAUAAUCUAAUUUGAUAUUUUUCUUUUCGUCUUUUGAAUAACAAAAUUGCUAAAAUUAUUUUUAAAUAUGCUUGGGUAUCAAAUCUAUCGACCAUAAACUUAUUAUUGAUAGAUAAUAAUAAUAUAUCAAUAUUUAUUAAUUGUCUUGUUUAUUUUUUACUAACAUUUUCAAAAUUUAAAUAAGUUUUGUUUUUCUUUAUAAAAAAUUAACUCAGAAUUCAACUCUUUAAUUAAAAAGAUGUAAAAUUGUUUACACAAGAUUUUAGGAUAAAUUUAAUUUAUGGAGUUGAACUUGUGUUUAUGUUGAUUUAAUGCAAUGUGAUUCGAUCUCUACUAUUUAAUCCUCUAAUUCUCUCUCUGUUCGAUCUAUAGUAUUGAACCUCUAAGUAUAUGAUCCUCUAAUUCUCUCUUGAUUUGAGAAAGUUGAUUUCUUUAAGUUAGGGAGUGGGAGAAUUCUCUAUAGAUCUUUGGAGUAAAAAAUCCUCAACCACACAAAUUAAAGGAACUCUCUAUUUAUAGAGUUCUUUGGUAGACUUUAUGAGUUUGGGCUCGGUUAGUCCAUAAACCAAACCUUUAUACUCAACCACAUAAAUUUAUGUCAUAUUUAACAUUUGGAAUAAUUGAAACUUAUUUUUGGGUUCAAUUGAACUUUAGUGCAAGGAAAUAAUAUUUAAUUGAACAAAAAUAAUUAAUUUAUGUCAUAAUGAAAACAUGUGAUAUCAUCAUAAUUAGCUAAUUUAUGUCCUUAAUUUGUCAACUUUUAAUUAGUCUCAAAUUUAAUUAUUUGAAUUUAUUUCAUCAUUAAUUUAUUAAAUGAUGUGACAAUGUGUGAUUGGUCCAAAUUUUUUAUUCAACAAAAACAAUUUAAGAAAAUAGAUCUUUUUAAAAAUAUAACAAACGGAAAAAUAUUUACACGCUCUAGAACAAUUUCAAAAGUUGAAAAAACUCAUAAGCCCACAAUGGAAAAUACCAAAAAAUGCUCUCAUUAAUUGACAUCCACCACGAUCAUUUAAAUUUGACUAUUUUUUCUUACACGAUUGUUUAGAUUUGAUCAUUUAGAUUUGGAGUCAAAUCUAAACGAUUUUUUUGAUACACGAUCAUUUAAAUUUGGGCGUAGCCAAAUCUCAACGAUUUUUUUCAAGAGUUUUUGGUAUAUAACCGUUUAUAUUUGGAAAACAAUCGUUCAUAUUUGGAAAACGAUCGUUUAUAUUUAGAAAACGAUCAUUUAUAUUUGGAAAACAAUUGUUUAUAUUUGAAAAUUAAUUGUUUAUAUUUAGAAAACGAUCAAGAUUUGAAAAAUGAUCAUUUAGAUUUGAAAAACGAUCGUUUAGAUUUGGUACACGAUCAUUAAUAUUUGGAACACGAUUGUUAAAUUUAGGUAGUCAAAUCUCAACGAUUUUUUUUCAAGAUUUAUUAGUACACGAUCGUUUAUAUUUGAAACAUGAUCGUUUAAAUUUGGCUAUCCAACAAUUUUUUUCACGAGUUUUUAUAUUUGGAACAACCAAAUAACUGUUUGAAAAAAAAAAACUGUAGAAGAAGGAAAAAAGACCAUGGAAAGAAAAAAAAAUCGCAAAAGAGGAAGAGAAGGAAGAUGAUGGAAAGGAAGAGUUGGCCAAGAGUAAUUGGCUCAACCAAUAUUCAUAAUAAUUAGGGGUGUUCAAAAAAAUCGUUAACCCGAUCAACCCAGCUUACCUAACCCAAACUGUAAGGAUUGGGUUGGGUUAGAUUUUAUUUUGGGUUGAGUUGGGUUAAGAAAGUGAUAAAAUAAAAAAAUGGACCGGUUCGUCAGGUUGGAAAAAUAAGGGGUCGGGUUGACCCAACCCAGCCCAAUUAGAAUAUUUAUAUAACCUAGCCGCUUGUCGCUCCUCAACCUAGCCGCGCGUUGUAUCCUCCUCAUGUUCUUCUUCAAUCGUCUGCCUACAACAUCCUGUCUCCCUCCCUCUUUCAUUUAUUUUUUUUUUCUUUCGUCUCCUCUCCUCACGUUCUUCUUCAAUCAUCUGCCUUCAACAUCCGGUCUCCCUCCCUCUUUCAUUUGUUUUUUUUUUCCUUUGUCUGCCACUCUCAACUCCUACCCACUUCCGUUUUUUUUCCAUCGUCCGCCACUCUCCACUCCCUUCCCUCUUUCUUUUGUUUUUCCUUCAUCCACGUCCCUCCCAUUUUAAAAUUUCUUGCUGCCUCUCUAAUCACUAUUUGUCUCAGCCUCACAGUAAGGUUAGUCAGCCCUUUCCUAUUUCAUUUUUCUUUUUUUCGUUUGCCCAGCACCCUCCGUCAGCAGUCGGAUGCCCCCCUUUCGUCGGCCUCCCUCCCAUUUAAUUUUUUUUUUUGCAACAUCUCUAAUCACUCUUUCUCUCAACCUCAUUAGUAGAAAAAUGGUCUACGACGACAGUUAGUUACUGUCGCGAACAAAAUCCAUGACAGUUAUUUUCAGUCAUAGAAGCGGGAGUCAAACAAAAUCCAUGACAAAUAUUUUCAGUCAUAGAAGCGGGAGUCAUGGAAAGUCCUUCCAUGACACUUUUCAAAAACUGUCGCAAUAACUUCAUGACAUAAAAUAAAUGCCGUUAGUUAGAAUUCUACUACAUCAAAUAACUGUCAUAUUUUAUUUUAUGACAAUAAAUAACUAUCAUCAUUUAUGUAUUAACGAUAGUUAAAUAAAUGUCGCGAAUUCGUUAAUUGUGACAUGUUUUAAAUGUCAUGGAUAUGUCAAUCGCGACAGUUUUUUUUAAUGAAAUGUCAUUAUUUUGACAUUGACGGCAUUUUUUUUUCUGUCAAAGAUAGGGCAAUCGUGACAAUUGAUUUUGUAAAAAAAACUGUCAUUGUUUUGGUAUUCACAACAAUUAAUAACUGUCACAAAUUCACAUAUUACGACAUGUUUUUCCUGUUGCAAAUUACUCGAUUACUACAAUUUUUUUCUAUUCUCUUUGCCACUCCGCCAUUACACGAACCAUUGGAAUGACAAUAAUGUAGCCGACAAUGACAAUUUUGAAUUUAUAAUAUUGACACCCAUAUAGUAAAAAAUAGCGGACACUUUAAUAUAUAUACGCUAUAAUACAAUUUAUAAUAUUCGUAUAUUUCCAAUCAACUUCCAACAAUUUACAAGUACGGAAUUCUAGCUCUUAAUCAAAAAAUAUUUUAAAUAGCAUCAGAAUAUAUAUAACAAGAUUUUCUGCUAAAACAUAAACGACCAACCGAGAACGUUCGUCUCUAAAAAUGUUCUUUAAAAGUAAACUCAUGAAGUUGUCGACUCCAGUUGAACCUACAAAGACAACAUGAAUAUAAGCAUCCAUCAUAGAACAAGAGAGUACAACUCGCUUCAUUUUUUUUUUUAAAUAUGACUUAGGAUUCAAAUGUGUUUUCAAGGAAGGUGAAAAGUGCACCAAAAAGUUGUGAUAAAAGAAGAACAAAAGGUAUAGAUAUAGAAAUAUAGUCACAAGAAGACACAAGAGUAUACAUGGAAAGAGAAAAGAAAACAUAGAAGAGUAAACAUGGGACGAUGAUGAAAGAAAACAUAAAAGAGUCAUCAUGGGAAGAGGAAAGAAAACAUAGAAGCUACCCCAGGUUUUCAGAAUUGAAAAGAAUCAUGGGGGAAGGGGAGAAGAAGGUUGCUUAUGCAUACAAAAAUUGCAUAAGAACUGUCCUAACAAUCACCUAGUCAUUCCACAAAGGAUUAUCUCAUAAAACUUCCUACCAAAUAAUCCACAAGUGAAGAAUGGUGAAAAACUACAAUAAUGAAUGGUAGCAAACAAACAUAUCAACUAAACUAACGAUAGGCCAAGAGAACUCUAAAUGAAAGAAAUGAAGAUUUCACAAUUAACUUUAACUUAGCUGAAUGUCAAGCCAAGAAGAUUGUAGCCAAGAUUCUUAAUUAGUAAGGAUUUACAUCAAAUCAUCAUUACAUAAUUCCAUGAACAAAUGGAGGAAUGAGUUAAAAGCAUUGAUAAAAUUUGUUGCGUUAAGAAAGAGUUUUUAAGCAACAAUAUGCAUCACAGCCCAACAAAUAAUGGUAUUUGCUAAUAACAACCUAAUGAAUUCCUCCCCCUGCAUCCCAGCCCAACCAUAGAAAUUUUAUCUCAGAGCAAGUUUAAUCCAAAUAAAUACCUAGUUGAAUAGUAUUGGUAGAAUUGGAAGGUUGAAUUCAGUAACAAACUAGACAAGUUAAUGAGCGAAAAAAAAAAUCCAGGGAUUAUUUGAGAAAAUCGUACCUGAUACGACCAUCUGAAUCGUAACUUUAACUUAGCUGAAGCAUAUCCAACCUAUAAAUUCAGGAAAACAACAUAACAAUUAAAUCAUAAAACCUAAAGAACACAUAAAUUACUACAAAAAAAAAAAAAAAAAAUCAGCAUAAGCAAAAAUAUUGAUGACAGAAGGAAUGACUACAAACAAUAAACUAUGCAUGCUUUACUCUCACAUGUACAAGAAAGAAUAAUUGAUGCCACACAUAAAGUCAAAGAAUUACAAGUUAAUUAAAUUUCUAAAAUGACAUGUCGUUGAAGAGAUACAAGUGGUUGUUUCGACAUGACAUAGAGAAAUCAACAACAUUGGUGUGGUUAAGAAUCACGAGUCAAUUCAUCUGAAUCAGAAUCACUAGCAUUAUAGUCUAUCGCAAUCAAUGUUAGCUUAUGAAGUUAACAAGAUAUGUUGAAAGAGGAUGGAUAAGAUAAGGAAAAGACAUUAACAAAUAAGAGAUUUAUAUUGUAACAAUCAACCUGGAUGUUUAUCACUAACUUUUCAGACCGACGAUUGACUUCUUGAUGCUUUUGUCAUCUGAAUUCUUCCCCAAAAUCAAAAUACACUUGACACCUUUAAAAUUAGCUUGCUGUAAAAUAGAGUAAUACAAAAGAAACAGGAAAAAAAAAGAAAGCAAUGUCACAACCACAUAUUACUAUACAAGUACAAACAAUAGAAAUAAUGAAACUUUGGUUGAAUACGUUCAUAUUGUUUCUAUAUUUUUUUUUAUUGAAUAUGAAAGCUAACCUAAACAGUAAAAUGUAAAGAGCAAGAUGGAAAAUGUGGAAGCUUUAAGAGCCCAUUCAAUAACAUUUGCCUUUUUAUUCUUCUGUUCUAAAAGACUCCUCCAGUUGACACUGAUUUUUCUCUACUUUCGAAUUAAUUUCAACGAUAAGAUUUUUUAAUAAUAUCUCAUAUAAGCAAGCACAAAGCAAACACAAACAGUAUUUAUCAACUAAAUUUCCAAAAAAAAAUAAAACAAACAAAACUGAGGAACAUGACUAAGAAGUAAAGUAGAGGAAAAGUAGAAUACGUUGGAGGUUACAACAAGAUUGGAAUAACGGUGCUUCCAUUACCACAACCCAACCUUCAAAACUUUACAAUACUUCUUACAAGAAACCAGUUCACGGGGAAUUCCUUCAACAAAUACUGUCUUUCCUGAACCCCAAAUAUAAAAUACUCAAAUCACAACCAAACUAAGAGAAACAACAAAGUUAGGUUGCUACGAAUACAAAAAUGUUCAAAUACUAAGGAAAACAAAAAUAUGAUAUAGACAAAAAUUGAGAAUAAGGAAGGAAGAGCAUUCCUCACAUAAAAAAAAUUAAAACCAAAGUACAAAAAUAUUACAAGAAAGAACUUUACCCAAAAUUUUCCGUUCAAUCAAACACUAAACAAAAGUCAUUUUCUACAUCUUUAAAAUCCACUUUAUUAUGUUCAUGAAUGAUAAUUUUUAUGUGAUAGAAAUUUGAGUAGUUCAAAUGUAAACAAAAGAAGAUUAAUGUUACCUUCCCCAGCAGGUUGAUCAUCCUAGCAAUUUAAAAUCAGCCCAGUGGCUUCAUGAAAUUCAUAAAUAGAAGUGUUGAAGUCAUUUUUAGGGAUAUAAGCAUUUAAGAAUACCUCCUUCUCCAUUUUUUAUGAAGUUAAUCUUACCACAACAACUGCAACAGCCUCUUGGCCUUGGAUUCAUGAUCUUCUACGUUCUUUCCCUCCAUUAUCUCCAAGCUUCUUCCUUCAUCAUUGGAGUUGAAAUAAUCCAGUAGUGGAACUAUCUGUUGGAUGUCUUUGGUUAUGGCAUUGGCAUUAGCAUUGAAGAAACAGCCACGAUUCUUGGCAUCCAUAACCAACUCUUCCCAAACCGAGUUACUCUUUGACAGUGUUUUGAAGUUUCCCAAUGUCCACAAACAGUACCUACUCUUAAGUCAAAGAAAAGGACUAGUUUUCAAAUACAUUAUAAUGGUCAAUCGGAAGGAAAAAAUCAUAAAUCAGAAAAACAUCAUAUGAUGAUUACUUUUAAAAAUUGUUUUCAUUUAGUUAAUGAGCUAAAAGCUCCUUUCACUCCAAAUAAACAACUUGAAACUCACCCUGCGUUUAAUUUAAUUUGAAUUAUACAUGUUGAAGUAAAGGAACAAAAAGAGAGUAAGCAUACAUAAACUAGAAAGCAGCUACCUAGCUCUUGUAAGUGCGACAUUUGUUCUUUGAUUACUCAACAAAAACCAGAUGGACGAUCCUGUAUUACACGGAACAGUGGAAAUAAUAAUGAUAUCUUCCUCCCCUCCUUGAAAGCCAUCAACUGAACUCACCUUCACAUUAAAUCCAUUACAAUUGUACUUCUUCCCAAUUUUGCGUUGAAUGGUAACGACUUGAGCUGAAUAUGGGGACACUACACCAAUGCUCAUCUUUCCUUUUGAGUCAACACAUGCUACAAACAUAUAUUAUAUUAAAAAAUAUAUAUGUAUUAAAGAUUCGACAUGAGACAAGAUGACACGCCAUGGGCACAACAUGGACAUGCAUGUUUUUAGAAGACAUACUGUUUUACAGAUGAAAAAUUAUAGUCUAUGAGUUCUGCAAUUUAACAAUAUAUUUCAAAUUUUACUUUGACACACCAUGUAUUUCACUCUCUAGUUUUGCUAUUUUAUCUACGGUCUAUUUAGUACGAAAUAAGCAUUAAAUAUAUGUCUAACAUAUUUUAGUACUAUUUUGAUUUCCUACAACUACUGUGAGAUAAAAUCUUUUCCACCAACAAGGGUCUUAUACAUUUAGGCUUUAGUAUCUUAGGGUCAAACGCAGUAGGAAAACUAAAGUAUUCGAUAUGUAUGGUACACACAUGUGAAAGACACACUAACGAAGUUGAAAUGCUUUCAUGCUUCUAAGAAAACGAAAGAGAUUUACAUAAAAAUAGCAAAAUAAUAAUGUAUAUAACAAUUUGAAAAAAUUUCAUCUGACAUAGAAGUAACCAAACCGAAAACAAAGAUCAAAUAGAAAAAAUAUUAUACCUUGAGACAAAGAAUGAACAAUUUUGAGCACAACAUCAACCUCUACCAUGUUUUUCAAACUGUGUCCAAUUUCAUCCUUUUCUUCUCGUGCACCAUUUAUGUUUAUGAAAGAAUACGAACCGAACAUCGGUCCGAGAAUAAACGUCUUUUCAUAGGCUUUAGGUUUGACAUUAGGACCAUCUGAGAUCUGACUUGAGUAGAAUUUUGAGUUUGGGAAAAGGCUGAUGGAUGGAUGCAUUCUGUAUUGCACAUUGAGAAGAUGUUUUGGAUGCCCCAAUGAGCUUAGCCUCUCAAAUAGGGUAUGGGAAUUUUAAGUCUAUGAAAUGUUUAGGUUAUCCAUAUGUGUACGUGAGUGUUCAAAAGGUAUUUAUCAUGUUUAACAAAUGUGUAUCGAAGUGUCAAUAUAUGUUAAAACAAAUAUGAUUAAAUAAAGGGAGAAACUUUCUUACAUUGCUCUAAACCAAUGCUGGCAAUUGGCACUCAUCACCUAUGAGGAUUGCAUGCUUUAUGUCAGCCAGUUGCAUUGGAAUAACACACUCACACUCUUUCAACUGUGCUGCUUCAUCAAUCACCAAAGCCUUCAAUGGCUCUAAUGACUUCAAAUACAACUUAAACGUACCUGAAACCGUGCAAAAGAACAAUGAAGCAUUCUGAAAACAGAAAUUCACAAUGGUUCUUUUAUUUGUAGUUUGUGGAAGACCAAGCAAAUCCAUGGAUUGUUGAACAGAUUUCAAAACUACAAUGCAAUUAUUUCUUCUCAUCAAAAGCUCCUCAUAUUUGUUAAAUAAUGAUCCACACACAUUGGAUGCAAUUACCCUCUCAAGCUCCUCAGAUUGUUAUCGUUAAUCACACUUGUAGAUUCUCUAAUUUUUAUAGAUUUAAACUAUAACAAAAUCUUGUGUUGUUUCACAAGUGCAAAUCUCUACCAACCUACACAAAUUCUUGAAAACAAAGAAAAGAAUUCUGAAGAUUGCAAAGAAAUCGGCACUAACAAACAAUUGGAAUGACACCAUAAAAAAUAAUUAUGAAAAUUUUGGUGAAGAUUUUACAAUCAAAGAAUUCCAUGGCUUAAUAUGGACUGGUGUUCUUCUCUUUGGGAAAACAAAAUCUACCUUAAAAAAAUUCAAUCAAAACUAGUGUUCCUCAACAAAUAAGUUUUAAUACAGAGACAAAAAAACAAAAAGAAAGAAAUGAAAAGGAAGAAGAAGAAUAAUCAGAGACAGUAACAAAACCUAACCUUAGUAAAUGUCUCCAACGUCGACGGCGGGCGUUUGGUUCCAAAGAUGGACAUUGGGCGACGAUUUGCAGUGAUAGACAACAUUGGGAGACGGUCGACGACAUUUUCAGAGAUCGACGGUGGUUGUUCGUCUAAUGGUCUGGUCGGCGGAGUGAGGGUCGAAGAGGAAGACGAUUUAGAGAAGGGCGUGUGAGUUUUGUCUUUUUUGGAAUAUAAAAUUAAGUUAUAUUUUAAUAAAUUUAAAUAAAUCAAUUACUUUAAUGACAUCAAAUAACUGUCACAUAAAGGUAGAAUCCGAAAACAACGUUUUUUCCUGCCAAAAACGCGUGUUUUGACAUUCUACGACAGUUUUUUCUUCCCUCUCUUUAAUUUGGAUUGCAUUGAACUGUCAUAGAAGCUAGUUUUUCUUCUAGUUGUAUUUGAUUGUUACCUUCUUUUAACAUCUUUAGAACACUGAGGUAAUUAUUAAUAAAAGUGCAUAUGCUUAGAAAAAUUGGAUGAAAUUUAUCUGAUUUUAUGAUUCAAUUAAUGCUCAAAUGUCUAAUUUUAUCAUAUAGAAUCAAUAUGAAAUCGGCAUAUUUAAUGUUUUUAUAACAAAGAUCCUUAGUUUCCAUAAAACAACCCACCUGUCAACCCAACCUAGCCCAACCCGGAUUUUUUUGGGUUGGAUUGGGUUGCCCUUGUAUAUUGAAUCCAACAGGGUUCCUUUUUGCCAAUCCGAAUACUUCAGGUUGGUCUAUAAUUUUUCUAUAACCCAGCUCAACCCGACUUAUGUACAUCCCUACUAAUAAUAAUCUUUCAAAUGUGAGCGAUAUUUCAGAAAAAUAAUUAAAAAAUAGUUUUUAGCCUAUUGAGUCAGGUCUAGCUUAACACCAUUUGCUGACAUGGUUGCCUUCUUACAGUUUCCUUCUUUUCUAACAAACUGAAUGCAAAUGAAUUACUAAAGAUAUUUGAAUACACUUUUCGUUCUAAAACUACAAUAUUAAUAAUAGCCAAAACAAGUCCUACUUACUCAUGAUUUAAGUAGAAAAAAUAUCUCAUACUAAAACAUAAAUUCUCAUGUUUAUAACCAUAAAAGAUGGGAUUCAUAACAACAUGAACCAAAAUAUUUACAAAUAUAUAUAUAGUAAAGUUUCAUUGUCUAUCACUAAUAAACAAUGACAUUUUGUUAUAUUUGAAAAUGGUUUUAUCACCCAUAAUAAUUGAAUGUAUUAAUAAAGUAUAAAAAAAUUCCUCUACUAGUCUAGAGAAAUUGCAAACUAUUCCACUUAUCAUGGUUAACAUGCUAUGAUGGAACUUAAUAAAUACAUUAGGUGUAGGGGUUCACCAAAAUUUAUAGUGUGAGAUAAUGAAAAUUUUCCAAUAAAAUACGUGGACGUGAGGGUCCAAUAAAAUUAAUGCCGAUGUAUUAAGAAAAACUAUAUUAUAUGGUUUUAAUGUCAAAAUAAUUUAAAACUUUAGUGCAAGAAAUAAGGCUACCAAUUGUUCAAGAUGAUUACGCAAUGUUUUGGUUGACUUUCAUUGAGUAGAGACUUAGCUUUUAAGUCUUUUAUUUGAAAGUGCGAAAUUAUACAAAUUGUUGGCCUAUAUUUUCUUGUGGAUCCAAGGAAGCUAAGGUUUUAAAUCAAAUGAAAGAUUAAAAUAGUUAAAUUUUCUUUCCUUAUAUAUUUUACCAAAGUAUAUGUUGUUUUAAUUUUAAAUAAAACGAUCAUACUCCAAAAAUAUAUUAUCUUUGGUCCGUACACACGUAAAUAACUACAAAAAUGCAAGAUUAAUAAGUAUAAUAUAUAAAAUGGAAAAAGGUUACACGUCACACACGUAAUAUAUUUUGUUCACGAUCUUCUAUCAACAUUGUUUGAUUUGACUACCCAAAUUUAAACUCUUUUUUUCAAGAUUAUUUGGUACGUAGUUUAGAUUUGACCAUUGUAUAAAAUCAUUUAAAUUUUUUUUUCAAGAUUUCGCAAACGAUUGCGUUUAGAUUUAAGUAUUUAGAUUUGAGACAAUCUUUUUUGGUACCCAAAUCUAAACAAUUUUUUUUUCAAGAUUUCGCAAACGAUUGCGUUUAGAUUUAAGUAUUUAGAUUUGAGACAAUUUUUUUUCAAGAUUAUUUGCUACAUAAUCAUUUAUAUUGGGUACGACCCAAAUCUAAAUUUUUAUAUUUGGUACAUGAUCGUGAAUAACUGUUUGGAAAAAAUAAAAGAAAAAUAUGUCUUUUAUAUUUGGUACACGAUCUUGAACCAAAUAACAAUUUUAAAAAAAAAAAAAUUGGAGAAGAGGAUGAGAAAAAUACGAUGAAAAGGAAAAAAAUUGCAUAAGAAAGAAGAGAAAGAAAGAAAAUGGAAAGAAAUAGUAAACUUGAAAUAUUUAAAAAAAAUCGUGAAAUAGAUAUAAAGAAAACUUGAAAUUUGUUCUUAAUCAUGACUUAGGAAUUAUGUGAUGAAGUGGUAUAUUGUGAGAAUUUCACAUAACUAUGAUCAUGACCUACGAUGCAUUGCCUAGAAUUGAAACAUGCAAUACAGAGAUUUACCAUGAGUGAGUGCGUUAUGCGCAAUGACCUGACUCUGUGACGUAUUGCAGUCGUAUUAUACACAAUUGAAAUCAUUAAGUUCAACUAAUAAUCAACCAAGUAACAACAUGUGUAACUGAAAGCACAAAUAAUAAUCGAGAAUUGAUGACUCAGUUCAAUGCCAAAACAUCCACAUUUAGGAGUCUCAUACCCAUGGGAAGCAUGCAUCUGUAAAUGAGAUAUCAUAUAGUAACAUCCACUAUCAAGCAUUCCCUUGACCCUUUAUAAUCCCUUGGCUUCUACUUGCUCAACAAUUUAUAAUCAUAAUAACAAGAUAUCACAUGUGAUGAAGUCACAAAGAUUAGAGAUGCAGCUGUUGAGUUUCAAUUAGCAAUUCCCGAAGAUCAAUAGCCCAGUUCGGUCAACAAGCGUCUGAAGCAAAAGCAACAGUCCUAUUAUUCAUAAAAACCCAUAACAAAUCGUAAAACCAAUCCCAAAAAAUCUAGCAAAAUCCAAAUAACCCAUGACCACUAAUCUUUAGGUUAGUUAAUUAGAAUAAAUAAAAAAGACUAAUCAAUUAAAUAAAUAAAUAAAAGAAAUGGGAGCAAUCGAACAUAAAACAUCCAAAUCAUGAAAACUAUUGUUGCCAGUGUCUAAGUUACCAACUCCGUUUGAUAGUUCGUGUGCUGCCAUAUGAAGUGUGGUCACUGUUCAAAUUUCCUAGUUGAGUAGCCACACACAAGAAAAGGUGAGGGAGAAUGAGAAGAAUCGUAUGAAGUUUGAUAUUUAGGGUUUUUUAAACUUAAGGGCAAUAUAGACUUUUCACAUGCUUAUUUGUCAUAAAAAUCAUUUUUUAAAAACUCAUUUUUCACAUGAUUAUUAUUUUCAGUAAUUUCCCAAUAUUCUUUAAUAAAAUUAACUAAAUGUAUGUUUAAGUAUAAUUUAAGGAAAAAAAAGAGACAAACAUGUGAUAAAAGAUAUGAUAAAUUAUUUCAAAUAGCAAAAUUUCUAAAAAUAUCUACAAAUAUGACAAAACAUCACCAUCUAUCACCAUGACAAAUUAAAUAUAGACUACUAUAUGUGUUUAUCAUAAUCUAUCACCAAGAUAUUUUGCUAUAUUUGAAAAUAUAUCCCAUAAAAUUAUGUCACACGUUAAUAUUUGUAAAAAUAAUUUCUUUUGCUAGAUUAAAAAAUGAAAAUUUUCAAAUAUAACAAAAUGAACCAAAAUAAUUACAAAAUAUAGCAAAUAAUUUUUUUUUUAUUAAUGAUAGCCACUAAUAGACUUAUAUUAGUGUUUAUUGAUAGAAUCUAAAAUUUUGCUCUAUUUUAUAAAUAUUUUAACCAAUUUUACCGAUUACAAUAUAUUAAAGAUGCAAAUACACCGUUCACUAAUCAUUGUCGUCUAUAUAAUUUAAGUUUUACUCUAACUAAUAACUAAAUAAGGAUAUGGUGGAUAAGGAAGACUUAACAAAUACAUAGAUAGCUUUCAGAAAAGGGUUUUAAAAAAAUAGGACAAAGCAGCAAAAUAUUACAGCGUAUAAAACAAUUUUGAAAACGAAAAAAACCAAUAGGUCCACGAUAAAAAAUAUACAAAAUGUCCUGUGAUUAAUUGGCAUCCAUCGUGCGUAAUAUAUUUGAAAAAAGAUUGUUUAGAUUUGCUUAUUCUUCCCUAUACAAUCAUUUAGAUUUAGAUAGUCAAAUCUAAAUGAUUUUUUUCAAGAUUUUUUUGGUGCACAAUCGUUUUAGAUUUGACACACAAUCGUUUAAAUUUUGACACAAGAUCGUUUAGAUUUGAUCGUUAAAAUUAGAGUAGUCAAAUCUCAACGACUUUUUUUCAAGAUUUUUUUACACGACCAUUUAGAUUUGAUACACAAUUGUUUAUAUUUGAAGCACGAUCAUUUACAUUUGGGAGUCCAAUAUCCCAACGAUUAUUUUUUAUGAUCUAUUAUAUUUGACACACGAUGUUGAACCAAAUAAUAAUUUAAAAUGAAAUAUAAAAGAUAAUGGAAGAAAGAAAAAGACGAUGGAAAGGAAAAGAAAAAAAUUACAUAAGAGAAAAAAACGAUGGAAAGUAAACGAAGAAUUGCGGCAAAUGUAAAUAUUUUAAAAAAAAUUAUAGAAGAUGAGAAAAAGACGAUGGAAAGAAAAAAUAUCGUAGAAGAGAAAAAGAAAAAAGAUAGCAUAAGAGAAAAGAAGAAAAACGAUGAUAAGAAAUGGCAAACCUGAAUUUUUUUAAAAAAAAUGGUAAACUCUGUGGGUUUUUCCAAGGGCCACUUGCAAAAAUAGCAAAAAAAACUUUAUGAUCAUAUGACCGAUAUCACUACAUUUUCUAAGUUGCAAAAAUAACAAGUUUAAAAUCGGAUAAUCCUAUGAUAGUCCUCUAAUAGCCUUCAGCUAGUUGUUUGAUAGCCGUCUAAUAAUCGUCCGAUAUCAUUAAUUACUUGUCAUAUUUGACAUAUUUGCAAUAUGAAAAAAGAGGUAUUAUAGGCUCUUUUUUUCUAAUUUUUUUUGUCACCCGAUGCAAUUUUCCUUUUUUCAUUUUGUGAUACAGAUCGUAUAUAUUUUGCCCGUUUGUUCUAUUUAUGAAACUAAGAAAAACUUUGAUGAAGAUACUAUUUUUUUCAGCCAUAAUCAGUAAAUUAAUGUAUCCACAUCCUACUCAAAUUAGUUUCUGAAUCCCAGCUUUACAUAGUUCAUAGGACACACUAUCAAAAUAUGUAGUGAGCCAAAAUGACAAAGAGACUUUCCUUUCUAUUAUAUAUAUAUAUAUAUAUAUAAUUGUUAAACUUCUAAAAUGAAUUUCACUCGAUAAUAAAUAUUGGUUAAGCUUAAAAGAAAAAAGAAUAUAGUGAUUAAAGGACAAAAACCAUAAUAAAUAAGAUCGUAGGUUACGAAAUGAAAGAAAACAAGUUUUUCAUUUACUUAAAACAAUUAUGAAAAUAUGAUAUUACAUAACAUCCAAGGUCCCGUAGCUCAGUUGGUUAGAGCGUUGGUCUUAUGAGCCGGAGGUCGCGGGUUCGAGCCCCGCCGGGACCAUAAUAGUAUAAAUUUAUUUUUCAAUUUCUGCUUAAUAUCUUAACAAAAUAAAUUGUCAUUUUUUUUCUUCCUCUUAUGCAAUUUUUUUUCUUUCCAUUGCCUUUUCCCCUUCUUCUUCUAUAUCUAAAUAUUUUUCUUCUGUCAUUUUUCUUUUAUUUUUUUCAAACUUUUAUUUGCUUGCUUAAGAUUGUGUACCAAAUAUAAAAGAUUGUAAAAAAAAUCGUUGGGACAUUGAAAAUUUAAACGAUCGUGUACUAAAAGAUUUUGAAAAAAUCGUUUAGAAUUGACUAUUCAAAUCUAAAUAAUUGUGGAGUAAUAAAAAGCUAAAUCUAAAUGAUCGCUUACCAAAUAUAUUACGAGUGCUGGGUGUAAUUAAUCACGAGUUAAUUUUGGUAUUUUCCAUUGUGGACUUGUGGCUUUUAACAUUUUCGAAAAUGUUCUAUAUAGUGUACGUAUUUUGUCGCUUUGUUAUGUCUUUGAAUACAUAGAUAAUGACCUCAUAUCUUUAAAUACAUUCUUUAAUACAAUGUAUAUUUAUACAUUUUCAAUCCAUCACAUCUUUAUUGUUCAUCGACCCUUAUGUUAUUUGUUGAUUAAAAUCUAUGAUAGAUUCUUGAUAUGUAGACAAGCUUAUAAUUCUUAUCGCGUUAGCUUAGCUAUUUUCAUCGUUUGGCUAGUGUAUAUCACCAACUACCUCAGAAGGCAAGGUAGCAAGAAUAUGGGUAACUCGCGCAAAGAGGAGUUUGAAAACAAACUCCACCUUGGUGAGAUAACUUCCAUUAUUUGUCCUGAAAGGAGAACAAGUGUGGGUACUAGGUGCCGAGUGGUUGUCACCCUUAAAUGAGAAGCUCUAUAAUUCUUGUAACUUAACCCUUCUAGAUAUACCUUGCUUAACAAGGCUUGGUCAUUUGGAUCCUGAGAGGUGAGAAACUGUGGUGUUUAAAGACACCGAGAGAUGCUCGCCUUAAUUAUAAGCUAGUUAACUAAGUUAUAUCGCAUCAAGGCUUUCGUAUGACAUAAUCGCCUAGUAAUGCAUGAAUUUUCCCUCACCCUCUUCUUUAAUACAAGUUAGGUGGCGCUUGCAUUUCAUUCUCGCAACUACCUUCAUUAUUCCACCUUUACAGAUUUUCUAGUGUAGAUAAGUAGAUAUAGUAUAAACUUACACUUUUUCAUAUUGUAUACUUUAUUCUUUUAUACCACCUAAUUUAAUAGUAGACCCUAGAACUAAGAUUUGAUAUCAAUUUCCUGUGUACGACCCUAGAUCAUUCAGGAAAACCUAUUAUUUUGCUUACAUUUAGGCAAUCAAUAGAAAAACUUGUACUCAACGAAGACUUAGCAAUUAUAUGAUGAAGAGAUACAUAGCGAGCAUUUUGCAUGCAAUGAUCUUCAUCAAUGACUCAUCAUGUACAAUUAAAUACCAACAUAAGAAACAUCUCAAUCAAGUUUUUGCCGUUGUUGAGUUGAUUUAUUACAAGCACAAGUCACCACACUUAUUCUCCUUUCGGGACACAAAUGAUGGAGGUUUCAUUGCCAGGAUGGAGUUUGUCCAAACUCUCUCAUGCGUACGUUAGCUAUGUCCUUGCUACUUGCUUUCUCGAGUAGUUGGCGACAAAUACUGGCCAAGCAAUGGAGUAUAGCUCAACUAACGUGAUAACCCUACUAAGCUAGACUUCUUAUCAAGAACUUAUUACAAGACUAAGCUAUUGAUAACACUUUGACAAAUGAACAGUGAAGAAAUGGUGGAUUGAAAAGGGAUAAAUAUUCAAUUUAUUCAAGAAUGUAGACUUUCAGCCACUGUACGAUAUGAAUGUCACACCUUGCACCCCGAACACUUGCUUGCUCACCCCGAGACGUAGCAUGAUGUUAGCCGAAGUCGUUCACCUACAGAACAACCUCAACUAACACAUGUCAUGGAAAUGUGAAAUAAUCAACAAUGAAAGUCUUUUAACUUGAAGUACUUUAAAGCGUGGUGUGGUCCAUUUGAAAUCUUUUAUAAAAAUUAUCAUGUAAAAUGAACAAAACAUGAAGGUAUGAAUAUGUGAAUAAUCACAUUAUUAAUUUAAAACAAAACAAUGCCCUUGCACAAUGGAAACUAAGUUGGGCUGGCAGUAGUAUGUUCAAUGCGCGGAGAUCCACAAUUUGUACCUAGAAAAUGAGAUAACAUUUUGAAAGAGUUAGUUGAAAAACUUAGUGAGCAACGAUUUUAUAAAACAGAUUUUUAUCAACAUUUUAGUAUAAAACCGGAGCUUGAUGACAUUUAUUCGUAAAUAGACACAACAUGAAACUUGAAACAUUUUCAUAGCUUUUUGAAGAUAGUCCUCUAUAGCCACGUGCAAUAUUUACCCUUUCGUCUGAAGACGGGAUAGUCGAUGAACAUUGGUCUCGAAAAUUCCUCCUAAUCAUCAUUGUCUUCAAAAAUUGAUAUUUUAUCUUUAAUUACUUCCUUGAACAUUAAAAUAUUCAAAGUUUCUUUAAAAAUUCCAAAAAUAUCAAGACAACCAAAACAACUCAAAAACAGCCUGUUGACAUGGUGUAGGGGCUAGUUGCACGCAUGACUUUGGGUCAGCCGCAUGCUAACCUCAUUAAGGUGGGGCGCUCACUGCGUGCUAUUCUCGCAAGGGGUGCCACACACGUGCUUGCCACCUACCUAGUGCUCCUCACAUGCAUGACACGUGCAUUGGCGCUCUCUACACACAUGCGUCAUGCUAACCUCGUAUGGUAGGGUCAUGCUUUUAGCCUGAGCGCACGCCUUGCUUCUUGACUGUGUCAUGUACGGGUAACCUGACCCAAAAUAGUCUCUAUGACCCAAAACACAUGCCCAUCUCACCCAUACAUGCAUGAGUCACAACCACUACUUAGACACUGUUUAACUUUCAAAAUCAGGACCCAUCUUUGAAAAAUCAUAACUUACAAUCCAUAACUCUUUUGACUCAACUUCCUUCUACAAAGUUUCUUUAAAAUGAAUUAACUAUGUUACCUCAUAAUUACAUAUAAUCAAAUUCAAAAUGAUGAGUCCUAUAGCCCACUUGGAAUGCACCUUGCUCAGAUUCACCCGAGAAAUGACAUUCUCGCCUUCUCUUGAUUAAAACACAAACUUUCUUGAAUCCAAAAUGUACAGCAGCCAUCACUCAUAAAAUUUAUGAAAUUUUAAGACUAAUUUGAGUAAUUUUUCAUGAGUGAGUUGUGAGAAAUUCAAUACUGAAGUUGGCCUGUUUAUAGAGUUUCUUGCAUGCGAUUAAGAUUAAGAUGACACUUAAUCCUUGAUUAUACUCACCUCUUAAACUCUUGUUAACACCCUCAGCAGCUCCUUCACAUCCUCCUUGACCACAAAAUGCAUGAUGACAUGGUCAAUUCACUUGGAUUUACUUUAAAGCGCUUGCCUUAAUCUUGCCACAUACAUGUCCAAAAAACAUAGUUAACCUCCAUGACCACCUCGCAUAUCCUUGGCCGACCAACACAAAAUGCCUAACCUCUAUGAUCCUUCUUUCUUGCUAACCUUAAAUGCCGAAACCCCCCUUACUAACCUCUAUGUCUUCUCACUCAAUGACACCCACUUCAAGGUUCUUCUUGCCUAGCCACAAGCUAACAAAAACCUUUAAAUACAUGAUUAAAACCAUUUCGCCAAGUCAUCCCAAAACGCUUAGACACCUCUCCAAAAUGCCAAAUGACCUCUUUUAGAGGUUCUUUCCUUUCUUGGGCCGCCCAAACAACCUUCAAAUGCCUAAUGACUUAACUUUUUACACUUAGUCAAAAUUUUCAAUUUUUCUAUUUUCCUUAAACCUCAACUUAAAUUGCAAGUCUUUUAUUAUUUUUUCUAAAAAAUUAAUUUUCUUUUGUUCUUGACUAAUCUUAGCAAGUUCCAAAGGAUUGAGAAAUUUUUGGGUUUCACAAUAAAUAUUAUACAUUACAACGAAAUAGAAAAAUGAAAAGUAAAGAAGUGAAAGAUAUUACAAGCUAGUUGUGGGAAGAAGGUGAUGAAGUCUUUCUCUGAUUAUCUUCAAGCUCUCAAUUGCAAUUGACUGGAGAAGAUAAAGAAUUUUAUAGACGGUGGAAAGGCUAGUCCUUUCUGUUGGCUCCAAUGGAGCUCUUGAUAACUUGUAGAAAUACAAGUUAUUAUAGGCUUUUAGGCAUAAUAAUAAGACCAAAAUGCAUAGUAAAAGUGUCAAAACGUGUAGCUUAUGUUGUAAAAUUCAUAAAUAUUUCUAAAUACACUUUACAUAAGCAUCCAUGUCUAUUUUAUCGUGUUUUUAGUGUCUUAACAUAGGUUUAUGAACAAAAGAAGAAGCCAUUAAAUAGAAGAGGAACUCGCAAGAAGACUAGGUGAGAAAACCAUAUUAGAACGUAAUAAGAGGUUCGCUAGAAGACAAAAGUGGUAGUUGAAGUUGAUGUGACUUAAUGACAAAGGCUACUUUUGGCACUGACACGGUACAAAAAAUAGUUUUUCGUUCAAAAGUUGUGUAUCAAAAGCCUCCUUCUACACCAUUUAGAAUGACUAGCCUGAAUAAGUCAAACCCUAGAGAAAGGUGGAAUGGAUUAGCCUUUCCACCAUCUGUAAAGCUCUUCUUCUUCGGUUAGACUUUAAGUGAGAGCUUAGAGUUAGAAUAAAGAAGAGUCCAUGUUCCACUUUCCCCCUAACUUGUAAUCUUUUCCAUUCUCCUUUCUUUCCAUUUUUGUACUUUUGUGUAAUAUAUGUUGUUCAUAUUAAACAAUGGCUGAAAGUCUACAUUCUUUAAUAUAUAUUACAUGUUUACACCUUUUAAAUCCAUCACAACUUUUACUUUUCAUCUAUCAAUGUGUUAUUCAUGGUUUAGGUUUGUGAUAAGUUCUUGAUAAGCAGAUUAGCUUAUAAUUCUUAUGGCGUUGGCUGAACUAUUUUCAUCACUUAGCCAAUGUAUAUUGCCAACUACUUGAGAGGGCAAGUAGCAAGGAUAUGGCUGACACACGCAAGGAGGAGUUUGGAGAUAAACUCCACCUUGACAAGAUAACUUCCAUAAUUUAUGUACUGAAAGGAGAACAAGUGUGGAUGCUAGGAACCGAAAGGUUGCCACCCUUAAAUGUGAAGCUCUAUAAGUCUUGUAAGUAAACACUUCUAGAUAUACCCUGUUUAAAUAAGCUUAGUCAUUUGGAUCCUAGGAAGAGAGCUACUGUGACAUUUAAAGGCUUUGAUAUGAGCUCUUCUUAAUCACGAGCUAGUUAAGUAAGCUAUAUCGUAUAGCUUAAUCACCUAAUAAUGCAAAAACCUUCCUUUACCCCUUUCUUAUAUACAAGUUAGUUCAUGCCUUCACUUCAUCCAAUCCAAACCACAUUUACAAAUUCUCUAGUGUAAAUAAGUAGAAAUAAUUCAAGUUUAUACUUUAUUAAGAGUAUACCCUAGAACUAAACUUUGAUAUCAAUUUCUUGUGUUCGACUUUGGAUUACUUAGAAAAACCUACGAUUUUGCUUAUACUUGGGCAAACAUUAGAAAAAACUUGUACUCAACAAGUACUUAGCUAUUGUGCAAUGAAGAGGUACAUAAGGAGUAGUUUGUAUGCAAUGACCUACUAACUAUCAUGAUAGUUAGAGUUGUCCUUUAAAUUCGCAAAGGUGGAAAGUUAUAAAUACGCAAAGAAAACAAUUUUUUUUUUUGAAUUAAUGAUUUUACUUUUAUGCAAAAUAGUUUCUCUCUACAAAUUUUUCAUUCCAAUUGGUUUCCGCAAACCAAUCUCAUCUCAGAGGAUAGGAAGGUCUUUGACGGGUGGUGUCACCAAUUCGAUGGAUUGUAGAUUCAGAGAUGUCAACAAUAGUAAGUUCUCUGUAUCUUUUAGUUUAAAAGCAUGCUUAUUUUUUUUAUUUAGAAUUUUGAUUCUAAAUAUUUUCAAUGUAUUGGUAUUUUGGGAUUUUCAAAUUAAAUUGAGAAAUGGUUCUGGAAAAUCUUUCACUAUCAAUGACUUUUUUUCCUUCAAAAUACCACAAUAACUUGUAUUUCUAAUCUCUCUAAACUCUCCCUCAGAUGUUGAUCGAAGAAGAGGUGGAGGAAGAACUACUACUACAAAUGGUGAAGGAAUUUAAAACUUGUCCUUUCACUGAGCUUUUUUAGGGAUGACCUCUUCUUAAUACUUGUUCAUGGUACUGUUGGAGGUACUUAUAGACAUAAUUAGGCGGUAAAUUAAUUACACUAUGAUGAAUAUUCAUUCUUCCUUUGCUUGCACAUUCGUCCUUGCCUACAAAUAUUAGCGCAUAAAGUAGCUGUUAUUUGUCACAUCGACUUCUUCAACUACAACUCUUGUCUUUAAGCGAAUUAUCUUCCAUAAUGAUUGAUCGCAUCUUGCCUUACGAAUCACUAGACAACUUCUUAUCAUGGAGUUCUUGCAUUAUCUUCGCUGCAUUUCUUCUUUUUCGUCAUCCUGCAUAUAAAAAUGCUUAAAAACAUAGUUAAUUGAUGUAAUGACUUAUGUAAGAUGCAUUAUCUUAAUAUUAUAAAUUUGCACUAAAAUUUAUGCAUUUUGAUCAUUUAUCUCACUUUUUGACUCCACUGUUUUACCUAAAGGAUCACAAUAACUUGUAUUUCUAUAAAUUGUCAUCUUCUUUCAUCUCACAAUAACUUGUAUUUCUAUAAAUUGUCAUCUUCUUUCAUCUCUAUGGCCGCCAACACCAAGUUCUAACCACUUAGGCAAAUUUCCAUCAACUUUUCUUUUAGCAUCAAUCUUAAACUUUACUACUAAAAACUUAGCUUCCUUUCUAACUUAGUCUUCCUUCAACAAGGAUAGGGUUGGGGUUUCAACAGUAAGAGUUACUUGCUUCAACUAAUAAGUCCAAGUAGCAAGGACCUAGGUCCUCCUCUUAAAUUAACCAACUUAUGAAACUUGCCUCUAAUAUAAACAUAAACAACAUCAAUUUAAAGCGUUAAAGGCUCACUGCACAAUGACUACACAUGACACUUCUAUCCUUCAAUAUAACACCACAACAUAAUGGGUAUUAAUAAUUUGAAAUAAAAACUCGAUGUGCAAUAAAAUUCUUCCAAGAGAAGCCAUAAAACUAAUCAGAAAGUAUCAACUAACCACAAAUUACAGUUUUCGCGAUGGCUCGCAAUAACAUAGGACAUUAAAGAGCCACCAUCAGUGGCGGUGAGGGGCACAAAGUUCAAACAGCAGACAUGAGCGGUGCGCCAAAACAAGGUUGACACUCGACGGCUGAAGUGGGACUUGAAGAACUCACAUGGUUGAACUCGACAGACGUGAACAAAGUUGAAGCGUGGAUAGAACUUUUAGCCGACGGUGGGUGACUGGUUGAAGGUGGAGGGCUUGCGGCAACUGCCAAAAAGGAGAAAAAGAAUAAGAGUAAUUUUUCUUUUUCUUCCUUUCCAAUACAACCUUAAUAACACACCCACACUAUCUUCUAAUUUAACCAAAUAAAUCACCCUUUUGAUAACCUACAUCCUCCCAAAUUAAUCCAAAAUUAAUCCAAAAUAAAAUCUCUUUAACUUUUAAAUUGAAUUCAAAUAAUUCGAAGAUAAUUAAACAAAAAUUACUUGAAAUUUUGGAAUGUAACAUCACAAUUAUUCUAACAUUUAGCAAUAUUCUAUUAUUAGAUUUUAGGAACAUUUUGACUUAUCUUUUUACCUUUUGAUAUUCUAUCUUAUCUUUUAAUUUCAUAGAAUAUUUUAAAAUUUUAAAAAAUAUACCACUUAUUAAUUUAUUAUGGAUUAUGGAAUAUUUUUUUAAUAUCAUUAAUUAUAUUAUCUCUCCUCUACAAAUUAUAAAAAUAUUUAGUUCUUUCCUUAUCAACUUUAUUUUUGAAAUUUUGACUUUGUUUUGUGUUAAUUAUUUAUUUUAGUUGAUAUUCAUUUAGUGCACGAUAUUCCAGUUAAUGUUUCCUCUGUUCUAGGAAAUUUUGUUUACAUUAAUUUAUUUAAUUUUUCUAGCUAAAAAUCUAUCUCUCCACUUAAAUGUCAACUAUAUGUCAAAUAUACUGACAAUACACUUAUAAAAGUAUAUAACACAUAUCAUAGCUAACGAAAAAAGCUAUAAUAGACUUUUUAUAGCCUUUUUUAAAAGUCUUGGCAGUCAUGUUAUUAAAAGUCUACAACUUUUUAUAGCGUUUUUUCGAAGCUAUAACGAGUGCUAUCGUAGAUUAUGAAGAUAUAGCUUAUAUGUGUUGCUACAAAAAUAUUUGAUAGCGUUUUUUAUUAGAGUUAUAAUAAGUUUAUGUAGCUUAAAUAAUGUGCUAUCUUUGACAUAUAAUAGCAUGUUUUCGACGCGAUAAUAUAGUAUUUAUAGCUUUAAUAUUAAGCUAUAAUAUAGUAUUUACAACUGUAAUAUUAAGCUAUAACAUAGUACUUGCAGAUGUAAUAUCAAGCUAUAAUAAUGCUAUUUAAUCGUUUUCAAUUAUUUUAAUAAUUAUAAUAACCUUAUGAUAGCAUUUCAUUUUUAGCUAUAUAAAUCUUUCUAUAACUUUAACUUAUGGGUACGAGAGUGAUAAUUUUUUUCUCAAAAAUAAAUUUUCAAUUAAUUAGCUUUUGAUAAAUUUUAGUUCAAGGAUCAAAUUUAGUUAAAUCUACACACAUAAAAUUACAAAAUAAAGUAUUUAAUAAUAUUCUUAACUAAAGUUGUGUUUAAAAUGAUACACGAAGGUAAAUAAAGUAUUUUGUAAAGAUACCAACACAAAUUAACCCACAAAAUUAAUACAAACAAAAUUCAAUAUAAGUGUUCACAGUUAUAUUGUAGGUAUGAACUAACUGUCAUCGUUGGUUUUUUAGUCCUUUGGUUAAGACACCAUUUCAUUCACCUACAUAAAUUUAUAAAAACAUAUAUCAAUGUAUGAUUAUGUAGACACUAAGAAUAGUGAAUAUUAAUUAAAUAAUUAUAGAAAAUCUUUAACAAAUGUGUACACAAAAAAUAUUAGAAAUAGAUAAUAUACCAAUAGUCACUUUAUCAUAUGGCCAUGCAACUGUACUUUCUAAAGCUUCUUCAAUACAUGUCAUUUCUGACGUUGGCCUCCAUAAAUAUGCAUUUGGUUUCUUUGCUACAUCAACCCAUACUCUACCUGCAUGUGGACCAAUAGGAACAUGGUUAACCAGAGCAGUUUGAUCAUUAGAAGACCAUCUUUCUUCUCCAACAAUCUCUUCUGAGCCAUACCAAUCCAAUAACUUGCACUUAAUUUGAGUGUUUGUUAUUGAUACUCUGUCAGAAGAUAAAUAUGAGAUACUAGAAUAAGAAAAUAAUGACAUCAUAAUACUUUUGAGAAAUAUUACAAAUAAAUUUACUGAUGGAGAAGACAUUGGACAAGUUAGAGGAAUAUUUAUUCGCUUAAUUAGCACACUUGCAGUAGCAUUUGAAAGUUCCUCACUUGGUUCUGCCUACAAUAAUCCCAUAUGAAACCAAAAAUAUAGUUAACUACUAAUAGGAAAAAAAAGAAUCUAAGUAAAAAAAAAAAAACUUGUUUCUUUAAAUAAGAUGACAUAAGUGCUUUGAUUUCUAUCAUUUUCUCUUUCAUUGCUUUCAUUGCUUUCAUUUGUUUCAACGAACAAUUAUUGUUGGUUUACAUAUUAUACUAAACUUUUUGUCCUUUUUUUUUGUUGUGUAAUUGUUCGUUGGAGAAUUUGUUUUGUUUGUGGAUAUGUCUUAUUGAAACAAAUAUAUGUAAUGCAGGAAAUGAAAAAUGAAAAAAGAAAAAUUUAGUAUAUUUAAUAUAUUAAUAAAUGGUAUACAUAACAGUCACAUAUACUAUCUUAUUUGAGUCAAAUAUACCAAUUUGCUUGAUGGAUAUAUAGUGUCAACUAUAAAAUGUCACUUGACAUAUACAUAAUGUCAAAUAUACUAUCUCACUUGACAGGUAAAUAGAGUCAAAUAUAUAUCUUACUCGACUUGUAAAUAGUAUCAAGUAUAUUAUCUCACUUGACAGGUAAAUAGAGUCAAGUAUAUAUUUUACUCGACGUGUAAAUAUUGUCAAGUAUAUUAUCUAACUUGACGUUAAAAAACCGUCAAACACAUUCUCUUUCUUGGCACGUAAACAACGUCAAAUAUACUAUCUUACUUGACACAAAAAUGAUGUCAAGCAAUAGAGUACUUGACGUUUUUUUAGUGUCAAGUAAUAGAACUAUACUUGACAGUCUAUUACUUGACGCUUUUUAAAACGUCAAAUAUAGAUUUACAUGACACUUUAUUAACGUCAAGUAAUUCAAUUUUUGUCGUAGUGAUUCCUUCAUCUUCAAAUAUUCUUUUUCCAAAACCUUGUACUUGUGAUCUUGUUGAGACAAAAGAGUUAGUCUUGAACGAGUCACACCAAAACCAAAUCCUCUAACAUGACCACGAUCAGGGCCAAGAACUUUACUCAAUGCAUCAUCAACCACGUUAGUGGUUGAAAUUGUUAUCACAUAUAUUAUUGUUUAUUUUUUAGCAUGUUUAUAUAUUGUCACAUCUCCUCCCAUAUCACUUUCUCUAGUUUCGAAAGGUGGCGGAAUGUCAACUGAAAUCAUUCUCCUUUGAAAUAAUACUAGUUGAACUCUUAACCUCAAAUCUUAAAACAAUUUGCAAGUGGAAGUCUUUAUACUUAUAGAAGACAAAACCGAGGUGUAGGCCACUUUCGAAAAUGAAUUUUUAUAAAUAUAAUGUUUUAGAGGAAAACAUAUAAAUCAUAAGGAUUAUAAGUUUUCACAACUCAUUAUGAAUUUAACAUGAUAACAUAUUUUAAUGUGGCAAUUUCUUUUCAUUAUCGUAAACUAAUUGGUCUAGCAAUAGUAAGUCCAACACUAGGAGAGUCACAAUUUGUACUUAAUAAGAGAGAAAACAUUUGAAAGAGCAAGUCAAAAGACUUAGUGAGCGACAGUUUAAUAAAACAAGUUUUCAUAAACAGUUUAUUACCAUAAUGUUAUCAAUAAAAUUGAUGAGAGGCGAUAAAAUGUUGUACUUCAGAGUUCAUUAUACGUUAAUAAAUUAAAUAUAGAAUUUAUUAAAGGAGUCUUUUAAAAAAUAUAAAAAAGCACACCAAAAUAUUUACAAGGUAUAAAACAAUUUCGAAAACGAAAAAACUCAAACGACUAACAAGAAAAAAUACAAAAAAUGUUUCAUCAUUAAUUGACAUCCAACAUUCAUAAUAUAUUUGGUAAACGAUGAUAUAAAUUUGACUAUUUCUUUCAACUAAUUUAGAUUUGACUAUUUCUUGUAUGGAUUUGACAGUUUAAAAGAUUUUUUUUCAACAUUUUUUGAUAUGAUGGUUUAAAUUUAGGUAACUAAAUCUAAAUGAUUUUUUAAAAAAGAAAUUGGUACACGAUCGUUUAGAUUUUGUAUAUAAUUGUUUAGAUUUGUUCAUUUCAAUUUUGGAUAGCCAAAUCUAAAAAGAAAUUAAGAUUUUUUUUUAAUCAUUUAGAUUUGUUAGACUAUCAUCUAGAUUUUAUCGUUUAAAUUUGAGACGAUUUUUUAAAUAGUUUUUUUUGUACACGAUCAUUUAGAUUUGGUUAUUUUUUUUUGUACAUGUUCGUUUAGAUUUGCUAUCAAAUAUUUCAAUAAUUUUUUUCACGAUCUUUUAUAUUUGAAACAACUAAAUAACAGUUUUAAAAAAAUUAUAAAAAAAUAGAUUUUUUAUAUAUAUCAGUAUACGAUCUUGAACCAAAUAAAAGAAAUAAAAGAAAAUAUGAAGAAGAAAAGAAAAGGACUAUGGAAAGAAGAAAAAUAGCAUAAGAAGAAGAGAAGAAAGAUAUGAAAAGGAAGAACAAACCUAAAAUAUUUGUUUAAAAUACGGUGAGUUUCAUGAAUUUUUUUUAUUUUGUUACCCCGUAAAUAUUUCGUUGAUUUGUUAUAUUUUUAUAGUAAAAUGUAUAGAUUUAGGUAUGUUGUAUUAAAAAGUAUCCGAGUAGAAGAAGAAAGCAUAUACUCGAAAAGAGUUAAAUCUUCCAAACAAGUUCUUAUUUCUUUCUCUCAAAUAUUCUAAAACAUUGAUAUGUGAAAGAGAAAAAAGUGUGUUUAAAACAUUAUACAUAACCGUUUUGCUAGUAUGCAAAAACAGUUUGUGUAUUAUUUAUAUAAUCUUUUUGAUGCUAUUACAUGUCUGGUAUUUCAUUUUAUAUAUGGGUAAUUAUUAAACAUAAACUUGUAGCCAGAUUGCCUCAAAAUACAAAAUGUAGUUUGAGUUGAGAAAAGAGAAUUUUAUGCACGGUCCAAAGUUGGAUUUGUGCAGCCAAGUGAAAACUUUGCUCGAACAAUACAACCUUUGAUCAGCAUCCCACGUUUUUCAUAGUUUGAGUAUUCCGUUACGCUGAACUUAACUAGGCCGGUACUGUUACAUCCAUCGUCAUUGAGAGUGAACUCGCCUACUGUGAGUUCAAAGAAAAUGCCUAUCGGCUUCCUCGCGAGGCUUACUUGGCUCUGUCUCGUUGACCCAUCUGGUGUGGUGAUUGUAACGUUCAAAGGAGUCUGCCAUCCGCCGGUAUUCUCAGUGAGCAAUACCAAUAAUGAUAACACGUUUAAGACUUUUGGUGUCACCAAUGGUGCGGAAAAUGCUCCACGUAUGUCAAGCUUUUGUAUUGCAAUCAGUUGAGGGGCAUCCACAGAAGUACUGAACGUUUUGUUUUUAUUAACAUAUAUAUAUAUAUAUAUAGAUAGAUAACAAUAUUAUUAAAUUGAAUUUCGGUUCUAGAAAUAAUUAACAAAGAAAAAAACAUACAUAUGGUCCGUGAUGUAGAUCCAUUUCCAGUAUCGGGGAUCAUUAACCCCGAAAAUAGUGAGAAUUUUUGGUAAUAUGAAGAGUCGAUUAGUGUUUGUUUCGAGAUUAAUUCUGAAUUUCUGAAAGCAUUCAACAAAAUUAAUAAUCAAAACUCAAUUAUAUAUACAUACAUAUAUAUAUUUAUUAGCAUAUUAGAUUAUAGAAUAAAUCAAUAUAUUAAAUUUAAGCAGACACUUACGAUAGUUCCAUUGCAGAGGGAGAUGCCACGUUGAGAUAGUUGAUUGCAAAGAGGAAGGAAGGUUGGCCACUCGACUCCAGCUUGGUCGUCUGCGAGGGCUAAAAUUGUUUCUAAGCAAUGGUCAUACUCAAGUUUUUUUACCAAAUGCUGUUUUGCUUCCGCUUCCGUAGUCAUUUCAACCCUCAAUUAAUUACCUUUGAUAAAUCAACUAUAUAUAUAUAUA
rnacentral:lncRNA from 1 species